AGAGAGAGAGAGAGAGAGAGAUGUGAACGAUCGCCACGUUUGAAAGCAAUAAAGUGGAUUGGAAAUGCUUUAUUUCACACCCAUAUAGAAAGACAACACGAAGAUAAAUAAAAAAGGAAGUGAUGUGUUCGUCUUCCCUUGGAAAUUUAAAAAGUGCCGUCGUUGGCCGUUGAUUUUGAGAGUGACGACUUACGUUGACCUGCUUUUAUCAUCCAAGCACAUGGAAAAGAAGAAGAAGAAAAAGCCACUUUCUUUUUCUGCACUAGUUAAAAAAAACAGUGUUAUUCGUAGGAAAUGUCCAAGAAGGAUCUCGCCCCGGAUCUUUCUGUUUCUUUCCACUGUUGGAGAGACCUGUUUGUCUAUACAAAUACAAUUCAUCGCUGUCGAAAUAAGGUUAUUUAGAUGUAACCAUUUUUAGAGAGAUAAUUGAGCUUUGUUAGUCAAUUGUAGAUGCUCAAUACUGAUGAGAGUAGUGCGCCACGUGGUUGGUAAUAUGAAUUUAAGAUGCUAAAGAUUAUCAGAGAAUUUCUAUGCAAAGAUUUCAAUGAAGUUAUUUCAUAAAAGAUUCCUAUAAUCCCUUUUUUUUUUACUCCACAUCAAAUCAUAUGAGAGACUAUUAAUAAGUUAGGAUACUCGUCGAUCAUGACAAUCGCACGCAAGAUAUUUAUGAAAUAUAAGAUAUAUGUAUAGAUGCAUGUUACGUGUUUAUUUUUCGUAUGAUAGGAGAGGUUCGUACACUAAUUGAACCUUUAGGGUUUUGGUCAUGCGUCUUUCCACAAGAAAAGACAUCCGUGAAGAAUGCGUUUGAAUGCUGUAACUCAUUGACCUUGCCUAACCCUGAAGCAGCAUCGCGUUGGAGUAUUAUCAGUAAUUCCUCUAACCCAAUUUUUUCCCGAAAAUCAUGAUCACGUAACUGUAUCGUGGUGGUUCUUGACCUAAUCACUGGAUUAGGCCGUAGAAUCUCAGCUAGAAUAAUCUUCAGAAGUUCUUAAAAGAUGGACCGAUAUAGGAUUUUAUACCUCAAAAAAGAAUGUUGCAAGUUUCCCUCCUCUAGUACAUUCUACACAAAAAGAGGCAUGAUCAACAGGUUUUGGGUUGAAAAAUAGCCAUGCGGCACGACACACACAGAAAUCUCAUCCUCUCCCUACAAAUAGCUAAAGCACACGUGAAAAGAGCAUUCCAUAUCCCGCUCCUUCCAACUAUUUAUGAAAAAAGAUUAUUAAAAACAGAUGCGUUGUGGAUCUAUUUUUUAACAGUUGAGAUUCUUAAGGGGAAAAAUGUUUAUCUAACAUGAUAUUGGAGUGUGUAGUUCGUGAAUUUGAAGUCUGUUAUGGUUAUUUUUCUGUCCGUCACACUUACUAUUUUACGCGUUUUCCCAUCUCUUGUCACUCGUUAAAUGUGGUCACAUCCACAUCCCGUGAUAUAUGCGUAAGUUUUGAUUUACAUUCAAUGGGAAGUGUUAUAUAACAUAAGUAUUUGCCCUAUUCUAAACCGGCUUGUUAAACACAAUCAAUAUAAAAAGGUGAAAUUGCGGAAAAAAACGUUGGCCAAUAGCCAUGGAGACUUUCUUUUAAAGUUGUUCAUCAUUCCAUGCGUGAGAGAAGAGGCGUGUGCAGUUAGCCACAAACCUUUUGGUAAUUCACUCAAGCCCACUAAUUAGUAAUUACUAAUUAGAUAGUUCCGUUGACGGAAGAUGUGAGGAAGUCAACGUUGGAAACUCACCAACUUUCCAGUCUUCAACCUGUCAUCCAUCGGUUGACUUGGAACAUGGAAAAAGUGCUUUGGAACUCGAACAGCAGAAUCACCUCGCCCUCAUUAUACAGAGGAAAUAGCGUUUCUGACUUCGUAAAGUAUGACUUGAGUAUUAACUAAUUCAUUCUUCUGAUUUCUUUUUCUUGCUCGAGUGUGCAACCCUAGUGGAUCUACAACAAAUCCCACGCGCAAUUGGCGAUCAGCGAUUUUUUUUCUGUCUUUCGUGGAUUUGGAGGAGCUUUGUCACGAGACCGUAUCAGAAUGGUGUAAAUUCGACUGACUUAAAAAAAAGGUUAUGGGAAAUGAAAAAAAAAAAAGAGAGUAAGAACCCUGUCCACGCACAAAAGCACUACGAUAACUAAACAAUAUUCUGCCUUUUUCUUGGAAGGAUCCUGUGCUCAGACAAUAGAAGACUUGCUUGAAUAUAGUCUAAUCGUUUGCAAGCAUCAAACAAAUAACCAUCUCAACGCUUUUUAGAUGGGAUAAUUAUCUUAAAUAAAUCAUUAUAUGAUGAGCAAUUGAGUCAUAAAAUUUCUAAAUUUACCAAUUUAGUCUUACAUCUUUUUAUGAUAAGCACGUGCGAGCAUCGCCUAGUUUAAGCAAGGGCCGUGACACCCUCGCUUGUAUCUUGGUAAGAAUUGCAGCCUUCAAUUGGAUUUGGGUGAGGGUCAUGAUGCCCUUUCUUGGAUCUUAGCGAGGACGUCAAGCCUCACCUAUGGCUGGCAAGGACCACUAGCCAUUGCCAAGGCCUAAUGACCUCCCUAAUCACAAAUUUGACAAAGGGGAAAAAAUAAUAAGAAAAGAAAGAAAGAGUAAGAAACAUAAAAUAAAAUUUUAGAUAUUUUUUAAACAAACAAAAAUUGUACAUGUCAAUACUAGUUGCGUCACAAUAGGACGAUUGGCGUUCAUAUCAUUGAUUUCUCAUUAUAAUUGGUCAAAAAGAUUACAUUGGAAAUCAUGAAAAUGUUUAUGAUUAAAUUGGCGAAAUCAAAAAAUUUAAAAUUAAAUUGACUAUCAUAUUGCAAGUUUAUGACUUUUUGGACAAUUUUUCCCUAUUCAGAUACAUACAUACCCUUUUUUUAUGGGCAAGUAUGAGUAAACUCAACUGAUAAAAGCAUGCGAGACAACAACAAAUUGGGGAACAAAAAAUGUCUUAAGCCUGUUGUGCUUAUGUCAAUUCAGCCAUAAACUUUGCCUUUUAACAAAUUAUCAAUGUGAUCCAUUUAGACCACCGCUCGCGGUGGCCGCAAUGGUUUCGCGGUUUCUCCCCCACCGAGGAGGGAGGGGUUCGAAACCCCGCAUCCCCAUUGCGUGAUUCACCUGCAGCUGGGUUUGUGGUGAUGGCCUAGUUCACCCGGGUUUAUCCCACCGACUGUCGGCUAUUCGGGGGUUCCUAGGUCACCAAAAAAAAAAAUGUAAUCCACUUAGUUAAUUUUGACUAGAAAUCAUUGACAUGGAUGACAGCUAUCUUAUGUGGCAUGAUUAAUGCCGACAUGGAUAACAUUUAUAGUUUUUAAUUUUUUUCUUUUCUUUUGUUUGUUUGUUUUUUUUUUUUUGUGACAACUCUAGGUUAGCGAGGGUGCAAUGCCCUCGCUAGUGGCUGGCCACCUUGUUGGCCCACAGUUGGGGAAAAAAAAAGAUAGGAAGGAAAAAAACAAAAAAAAAAGUAAUAAAAACUUUAAAAAAUCAAAAAAAUUGUUCACAUUAACACUUACCAUGCUAUAUAGGACAGCCAAUAUCCAUGUUAGUGAUUUUCGGCCAAGAUUAUUUGAAAUGACUACAUUAGCAAAUUAUCAAAAGAUUUUGGAUUUAAUUGACAAAAUUAAAAACGUUAUGAUUGAAUUGAUACAGAUGCAAUAUAUAUAUAUAUAUAUAUUAAAUUGUGCAUUUCCCCAAUAAGCCUAUUAUUUGUUCAAGAAUUGCAUUGAAGAAUAAAAUCAAAUCAACGAUAGAGGGUCAAACAAGCUAGUCUAUAAAUCUCCGUACAUACAAUUUACUUAUUUAUUCUUUAGAUCGAUCGUUGCUUUUCGGAUGUGAGGAUUGCGUACAAUUUGGACAAAAUAUUGAGAAGUUGGCCAGGCAACGGCAUCUAAUUGUCAAAGCAUAGACUUUCUUUCAAUAGACAUGUGAUGCUUCAGAAAAUAAGCAAAAAAGAACAAAAUGAAGGAAAGCCAGGCUUACAAAUCUCAAUCGUGGGGAUUUCUCGGUGACCUUGUUUUGGACGUAAUGCUCCUUAAAGCAUUGUGUUCAGACAAGAUGACUUUGUUUCAGAUGAUACGUAACUGGAUUAUCAAUUACUUUGAAAAUAUCUCGACAACCAACCUCUUUUUAUUAGCGCAACCUUGUUCUCUUCUCUUGGCCAAGAAAUUCGCUUACCUUCCAGAUCUUUUGGUGGGGCCAACGCGACAGAAAAUACAAAGGACAUAGCCAAAGAAAAAUACAAAACGCAAUGAUCCUCCCCCAAGAAAACGAAACGGACGCCACUGACAACCGCUGGAGCUUCCGCCAAUGUGAACUUGCCAUGAAUUUCCUCUCUCAUAGCUUUCCGAAUGGGCCGUGAAAUGGGGGCAAAGAAGCACUUCCAAGUCAGUGUGGACCAUACGUCGAUGGGAACCUUCGGUCUGAACCCAGUGACCAGCUCGCUUAUAGUCAACACGUCGACGAGAGCUUCCAUACGUUAGUGUCUUCCGGUCGCUUCCCACUCACAGUCGGACUAAUUAAUGAGCUACAUAGCCUAUGCCGACCGAGCACUGAAAAGGGCAGAGUUCACCUGGCACGGCCAUUUAUCGUCUCCUAUUGCAGCACAAGCCGAUCUAAUGAUCUGAAACUGGAUUGCUUGAGACCAGAGAGGGAGAGAGUCGUGGUAGGAUAAAAAAGAUUGCUUUGCUUUUGCAAUUGCAACAAUGUGUCUGAUGUGUUCCAUUAGCCGGAUUACUUUCUAUGUAGAUAUAAAAUCGAUGACUCGUCAAAGUUGCACGACGAAGGACGGACGAAGGACGGAGCGUACUUACAGAUACAGUCGGGCCUUAGGAUGCUGCAAAACUAAAUAAGAAAAGAAAACCUCCGAGAAAAUGGAUGCACAGUCUCACCAAUGAGUUAGUUUCUAUCGUCCCUCCUGCUCCACGCUCAUCAGCCAUAGAUGUAUUGCGAUAGACUUCCGGUCUAGCUUUUCAUGGGAUCUGACCCUUGAUUCUGGCAUUGUUCUAGGAUCACAUUGCAAUUGUUCAUGGUGCGGGCAUCAAGCAACCCGUGAUUCCAAAGCUUGAUCAAAAAGAGUCGCCAACACCUGUAGUAUCAGCAAGCAAAGUCGUCCACUUCAGACAUCAAGUUUUUAUUAUAGUUGGCAAGUCAUGCUAAACAUUUGACAGUAGCUCACGAGACUCAUUUUCUAAUUAAAAUAAUCGUUUCGUGUUACUGCGCCAAAGGAGUUCCUAAGGCAUACUCAUUAGCAAGUGCAAACAUUCAUGUUUGUCUCCUGAGCAGAGACUAUGCAACUGGAACGGCAGAUCAGACCAUAUCCCACCUACCUCACUUAUCGGGAAUCUGACAUGGUGCUAGUUGGUUUCUGUUUUUUUCUCUACAAAUUUAUGCUUUUAUUUAACAGUUAGUUCCCAACCACAAUUCAUGGAUGCAGCAAUCAGUAUGAAACUAGCAUCUCUAUGCAGGUACGUACAGUGAAUUAAGAAACUGAGCACUGUGAAUUAAGAAGAGCUGGCCAAAUACGACAAACUGAGUCAGCUGACAGAUAAUUAGGUAGAAGAGUUUGAGUGUGUUAAAGGAAGAAGAUCCUCACAGAAACUGCAAAAGAAAUACUGACCAAAUAAGUGCGGGUGCACGGACAAGGUCAUCUCCAUGCAAUUUUGAAAAUGCCUCACAUGCCCAAGGAAUAUGACCAUCUGCCAGCACCCUGCCAUCAAGUCAACAAAGUUGUAUUAGGAAUUAGACAACAAGUACAAGAAACAUAAUCAUCUAAACCCAAUCUGACUACUUCAUAUCAUAUGCAGGAAUAGAAUCAAAAGGACAGAGAGAAUAAGGACUCGAUAAGGUGAAAUUACAGAUAUACUCUAUAAUAAUCGUGUCAACAGUUCAACCAAUGCAAAGUGUCAGUACAGUCUGUAAGAAAGGUAUUCAAUGAGGAAUCUCAAUGAUGAGACGUAAGAUUUUAAUGAGGAACAUGCAUAAGCAUGUUUGCACUCCAAAAGACCUUAUGAUUACAACAAGUGUUCUGUGGUCUGCACCUCUUUCCCUGAGGCACAGGAGCAUGCAAACACAUAAAAGCUCCUGAAUGGAGCAAUGAGUGAUGUAACCUUACUGAUUUUUGAAGGACAGGUUAAGAGUUGCAAUGGAUGUAGGUACCAUCAGAUGUCCCAGAGAUUCUUGACUGAUUCUUAUUCUCUCAAAAGAAGAAAUGAUGCUUUUAACUAUUUCUAGUAACACAUUCAAUUAUGGUGUAUGCCUUAGCUAGUCGAGCUGAUAAAUUUCUCAACAGACAAAUUUAUUUAUGCCAUCUUUACCUGCUUAUCCAGAUUCAAAGGACUUUUACAAUGUCUAAUGAGAGGUAUUAAAUCGAGAGGUGACCAGAAUUUCAGAAUUUGGAGCUUAUGAUUAUUUGAGUUUUAAGCAGUUGUUUCUAAGAGUUGGCUGAUUGCAAAUAUUGAAAAUUGAAGACUUGGAGUAGUCAAGAAAACUAUCACACCAUUGAGAUUGCAAAAUAAAUAUUUUCCAUCAUCUUCUAAAAGGUUGAGCAAUUGGGUGCUUGCUUGAGCAGGAAUUAGAUGGGAAUGAGGAAAAUGACCAGAAACAACAAAAGAUAUUAAACUCAGAACAGGAGAGUAACCUUUGCUUCCUCACGAAUGAAUUCCAUAGAUGCAUCAUUUGCUUCUCAUCUUUGGUCACGUCCACAAAAUCAUCAAGCAUCUGCAUAGACAUGGCAGUGUCAACUAUAAUAUGUUCUAGAGUCCAGUAAAGCCUGAAAUCAUGCCAAAAAAAAAAAAAAAAAAUGCAAUAACUAAGAUGCCAGAACAUAUGCAGACCGUCUCACAAAUAUAAGACCCAACAUCAGAAGAUUUUCAUGGAAAAUAAGAAGGAACUAGGACAAUGCUAUACUAGGGUUAGGCACGUUUCAUGCAGCCCCCGAUUGGAACCCCUGAUACACACAUCGCAACUACACGUUUAAGUAAGAAUUUAAACACUGAAGCAGUUCACCCUCCUUGGUUUUGAAUAUAUCUAGUUCUGAACCUGCUCGACAAUAUAACAUUUCCAGGACAUGAAUCUUGAAUUUAGUUCCUUAUUCCCAAAAGCCACCGGCAUCUACUUAGAGAGGUAGAAUUAGAAAUCCACAUGGAAACCUGAUCAGGCAAAUAAUGCCACACUUAAAUGAAAAGAUUAUGCAGUGAUGACGUACCCUUCGAUCUUCAAAGUCAGCUACAUCAUCAUCAACUUCAUCCUCACUAUCUCGAUCAGACAUCACUUGUUCAACGGCCAUAGGCUUCAAAAACCAGAAAACUGGAGUUAUCAAAAUUUUUAAAUAUAAACAGAUCCACAUGAAACGGAACUAAAAAAAAUCAUGACUUUGGACAACCUGAGCUCGAUGUGAAUGAAAGAACUGCCGCUUUUGCAAGAGGAGACGGCUGUAAACAGAAGUCCAAUUUUAAGAUAGAACUCAACUAAGAAUUAACAUAUGUACUGACAUUUAGAACAUUCUUAAUGCAAUAAGAUAAAUAUUUUCAUCCUUUUGAUGUUGCAGUAAAAUCCAAACUUUAACUUAUAUCACAUUAGGGGUGAGCAUGGUCCGGGUGGGUUGGUUCCCACCUUGGAAUUGAGAACCGCCCACUCAGGACCAGUUCUGAAAAAUCAAAACUGGAAACCGCCCGUUAGUUCUAUGGAUCCACCAGGAACUGGACCGCCGGUUUGGUCCAAUUCUUGGGGGUUCAUGGAACCGGUCCCACCAAGCCUCAAGCACUCGAGUCAAUGUUUUCCAACAAGCCAAAGUAAAGCAAAAAAUAAAGAACUUCCCUAUUUUUAAGUGCAAGAUCAGUAAAAAGAUUGGAUUAAUAUUGAAAGUUGAGAGUCAAGACUAUAAGUCGAUAGGCAUUGAGCCUAAGAAUCGAGGACUGAGUGAGAGAUAGAGAAAUGACUCAAACGAGGUAAGAGUGAGACAAGACAAGCUUUCAGCCAAUGAAUGUUGAGCUUCACAUUAGGGAUUUUAACAUUUUCAUUUUUCUUAAAUUUUUUUUUGGUUGGAAAAUUUUCUUAAAAAUUAAGUAUAUAAAAAUUUAUUAUCAGUUCAGUCCGGGUGGGCGGAUGGGAAGUUCCACACCUAGAACCGGGAAUUUGGUACCCAUCGGUUCUAAUAAAUCGAAACCAGGAACCAAACUGGUGCCCUUGAGAAUCUCCGCCACCGGUUCCAGUCCGGUCCGAUUCCGGGUGGUCUGAGGGCAAUUCCUGAUUCUUUUGCAAACCCCUAGAUCACAUUCUAUGAACUUUAACGCUUUAUUUAGCAAAUAACAAGCUUCUUCGAGGUAAAAGAUACAAAUUGAUUAUUCAUUUAUGGAAACUAGUGAGCUUCAUCAUUCAUGUACCAAUUGGAUAACAAAUUCAGAAUUGAAGUAACAAGAAGAGAAGUAAAUUCAGACUCCUCUGCAUUUAAAGGUCGAGUAUCUCUCUCUUUUUCUAAACAACAGCGGCAUUUUAUGAUACUAGCAUUAGUAAGAUAAAAGAGGCAAGUGCCAGAAGAGGAGAAAAAAGUUAGUAGGGACAAUUCCACUUAGUCAGCUAAUUUGUAUAGUAUGUGUAAUUUGGUCUUUUUCUUUUAUUUGGCAUAAUUAAGUCCUAGCUUGCGUGAAUUGCGAAGUCAACUCCCCAUCAUUGACACCACUAAUAUGCUGACAUGGCAUGCUAAUGUGGCAAUUUAUUAAAAUAAUAUCAAACUCAUUAAGAUAAAAAAAAUAAUUUAAUUUAGAAAGAAAGGGUAAAAGAAAAGCAAGAGAGCCCAGCCCAUUGCAAUGAAUUCAAAAUGGAUACUAUUACAGGAUUACUUCAAUGGCCGUUGACUGCAUAAAUAAAUGCUAUUCCAACAGCAUGGUGACACGCAUUGGUCUCCUCUUCCUCUAUCCAGUCAACACGCCCAGCCUCUCACUAUUUUCAAGUUUCUAGCAUUAUUAGCACAUGACCUUUAAACAACUCAUUCAACCCUCAACAUUUCAUUAACCUGCAGAAAAAAACGAUCCUAUUGAAGGCCAAUACUUGUCCACUCUCAAGAUGCCCAAGCAAUAGAGCCCCUUGCCUUUCUAUUUCACUUCAAAGUCAACUUAAACAACCACUCCAUUCAACUCACUGACCAAAUCAGCGAUCGCUUCCAUCGCCUGCCUCUUCUAGAGUCCCUCAAGAAAGUUCUCACAGGACAACAAAACUAUUUAAUCUAUCACUCUGCAGCUACUGUACAACUAACAUUUUUCUCUUUUGGUUUGUUAAGCUUCACUGAACCAUAUAUAAAUGUUAUUAGCCUUUCUAUAUUUCUAAUGACUCUCUGUGGGAAGCCACUAAUGGUGCCAAUGACAAAAUGACCUGAUUCCACAAUUUGGUAAAAUAGAAGAAUCGAUUGCCCAAAAUAGAAGAGGGCCAAAUUGCUCAAACACAAGUUAGGAGAUAAAAAGUGGACUAAUUCCCAAAAUAGUACAAAUUGGAGAAGAAAACAUACUUUCUCGGCUCAGAUCGCUCAAUCGAUAACUUCCUCGUCUUUGCAAACUGAAGCAUUGCAGGGGGUGCAAAAUUGUUGGCUGACACUGAUUGAACAGAAUCAGUGUCAGCAUAUGAUUGUCCUGUGGCACUUGUAACUCCUGCAACAUCAAUGUGACAAUGUAAAAACUUGACAUUGAACAAGCAAUAUAUCAUUUCGGCAGCCAUCCUAGGUUCCUAACCUAAAGCACAAGCCUUUUCAUCUCUACCGGAAUAAGCAUCUGUUAGAUCACAAAGGAAAAAUGCUUCAAGUAUUCCCAAAAGGGAAAGCAACACAAACAGGAAAGAACCACUAAUACAACUGUUUCUGGCAGGGGCAGAUCUACAUAAAAAGAUGCACACUAGAGUCCAUAUCACACCUACUGGAAACCUAUGAUUCCACAAUAUUAUUUCUGAAGCAACAUGAGAUAGUUCUUCUUGCUUUAACCACAAUACAGUUCCUAAGUAUGACAGACUAUAAAUUCCAUUAAGUUUUCGUUUUCCACAGUAUAACCAUCUCAUAGAGAAACUAGAUUACGUGCUCUCUUGAUAAAGAUGCAAUAUCAGGGAUGAUAGUCUGUUCAGCAACAGAAAGUUGAAGAUUUGUACAACUCAAUGCACACAAAACAUUAGCAUGAGGAAAGCACAAACGUACAUCAAACUCGGAAAUUAGAAGUGUGGCAGCAACGAUACAAAUACCACAUGAAAGAGAAUUUGCCAACAUGUAUAUUUUGGAAAAAAUAUAUAUUCUGGGGUCAAUAAUAAGAGGAAUGUUAGGUUGAUAACAAAGCACAAUUUCUGUCCUUUCCAGUUACUAACCAACCAACACCAGAGCAAUUACUUCAAGCAUUGAGCAUAUAAUGGAAUGCAUCACACCCAUAUAAACCCGCAGAACUCAUUGCAUAUGUAUAAAAUAUAACAACAAAUGAGAAAUUAAUAAAAGUUAAGUGUUGACUCUAGAUUAAUUAAAGUAGUGUGAUGAGCUAUCCCUACAGUACUCUCUAGAAAGAGCGGCAUCGUGAAAGUGGGCAAUAUCAAUCAAUGGAUGAUAUCCUUUACAAUCCUUACAAGUUUUUUAGAUGAUAUCAUCAUAAGAAGAAUCCCUUUUGCUAAAGAUUGAAUCUUGACAGUAAUUGCUUUUCUGAACUAAUCCACAAGCACCUCAGAAGUUCAAUUUAAUCUAUGAAUGACAGAGAGCUAAUGUCAAGUUGGUCAGCCUUUUAAUUUCUCCAGUAUAGAAUGAAAAUUCAUGACAGACUUGGACAUGUGUUUACUAUAUGCUAGCUCCUUUGGUCUGCAAAUUGCCCAUUGCUAUUGGAGCACAUCAAGCCUCCUAUUAAAGGUUGAACUUCUCAUAAAAAAUGCCAAUCAUACAAAGAAGGAAAAACCAUUAAAAACUGUAAACUAUGCCCAUUGUGACACAUUUACUCCAAACUUUUUUUUUUACACCAAAAAUCCCAAAAUUUUACUCGUGUGUCGCACUUAUCCCAAACUUUUUGUUGUGACACCAAAAGCCCCAAACUUGUACCCAUGUGACACAUUUGCUUCUGUCAAGAGUUCGUCUAGGAAUACUAUUAAAAAUCUUAUGUGGCUGCCUAAAUGGACAAUGGAAGGCAAAUUGUGCUGAAGUGGUUCCCACAUGGCAAAAAUAUGCUAACUCAUUCUAUGUUUUUCUUCUCUAUUGUUCAUUUUUCUUUUUUUUCCCUUCCUCCUUCGUCUUCUUCCUUGGUUUGCACCUGGCCAGCAUGUUCGCCACUGCCGCCUCAUCAUCACCAUCGCCAACAUCAAUUUUGCCACCACAAAUGUGUCACAUGGAUACAAAUUUGGGGUUUUUGGUAUCGCAAAAAAAGUUUAGGAUAAAUGAAUCACAUAGGUACAACUUUGUGGUAAAAAGUUUGAGAUAAAUGUGUUACACGGAUACAAGUUUGGAGUUUUUGGUGUCACAAAAAAUUAGGGUAAAUAUGUCUGUGGGCAUAGUUUGGGGUUUAAAGUGGCACUCUUCCCACAAAUAAUGAACACAUAGGGAUGCUAGAAGCUGAACUAUCAUUCCAUCAUAAUUCUCAAGUAGGAAAAAACAGAAGAUGAAAAGAAAUAUCGAAUGCGCACUGUGAGCUGCAUCAAAUCACAUAUACCUGAAGGCAACUCCGAUUCCAAGACCAGUGGAUAGACAUGCUUGGCAUUUUGAACUAGGUGGAGUGGUCUUUUCCGCUUGAAUGGUUUUAAGCUGUAUAGACGAAGAGCUAAGUAUUGAUCAAAACCAUGAUGCAUUAACUGAAAGGACCAUGCUUCAUCUAGAUUGCGGCAAAAUUAGAGGGUCUCACCAGAGGAAAAAUGUUUGCAGCCUUGGAUCCAUACCAUCGGCAACAAUCUAGUAAAACACACACAUAUGAAUGCCAUGGCACUGGCUUUUGCCAAACAAACUAUUAAGGAAUGCCUUCAAUAUUUGCAAACAUUUCAAUCACAUACUGCAGAACUAAGAUAAAAUGUCAAAUUACAAGAAGCUAAAAUGAAGGUCCAACAUGAAAGCCAACAAAUGUCUACACAGGAGAUUGACAAUUAGUUAUGGCUGCUCAUUUAUAUUAUGAGUUCUAUUUCCAAAAUCUGACAUUCAAGCCAUUAUGUAUAUUCCAUCAGCAUUGACAGUUAAUUAUUCUGCUUUUAAUGUGAAAUCUAUCAAAUCGCGUAAGCAUCGGAGAUAUUAUGAAAAAAUACCCAUUCAUACACCUGGCUUCCUGAAAGCAAAUCUAUGACAAAGAAAAAUAAAAAUUUUGGGAACAACGUUCUGUCUCUAACUCUGUAGGUUAGAAGGACCAGACAUUGGUGUAUUAUCUCGUAGAAGUAUAUAAUAUGCCUUGUGCCUUUAUUGGGUCUUUUUGACAAUUAAUUGAAAAAUGCUCCAAGAAGCAGACAGGUGAAAAUGAUUAGGCUAAGUGGCCUGCUCAUCAGUAGAAGCAAAUACUUCCAGUGGAUAAAUUAAUCCUAGCUUAUAUUGUGAAAGCAUAUGCACACUGCUGCCUCUCAAAAAGUGACAAUUAGUCUACUCAACCCAUUUGUACUCUGCUGAUAUUAAAUCGCACAUCUGCCAUUAGUGCUUAUGUCCUCAUAAUCUUGGCUUUUUAUUAGAAGAAAACAUGAUGCAAGAUAGUUCAGAGGACAUAAUAGAUCCUAUUAAGAUGCUUCUCACCUCAGACCUCCAAGGAUCUGUUCUUACAGAGACAUAAACGGCCUGGUGCUCUUCAGUUACCUACAUCAUAGAUGCAAUAGCUGUUUUCAUAGUUGCCAGAAAUUCAGGAAUACCAAAAAUAGAAAGCUGAAGUUUACCAACCCAAAACUCAAAAUUGAAGAGGUCAUGCGAUGACAACAAAUGAUACCUCAGACCCUGUUAAAUACAUAGAUUUGUGAGUAACUACCAACAAAAUGACAUAAUUGAAAGAGUAGAAGAAGUACCACCUUGAAACUUGCACACUUAACCAAGCAGAAAGGACAGGAGAAAUCUUCGGUCACUGCAAUUUAGAGAAUGGGGAAGAGGAAGGGGACAUCAUGCCCAUUGCAAACCAGAUAAAAAACAAUCCCACAAAUGAUCAAGCAGAACAAGUAAAAUGAUGAUUUAAAAUGGAAAGAUCUAGAAAGUUAUGUCACCUCAUACAGUGUCUUCUUUUUUUAUUUAGCCCCAAAAAAAACCUACUCAAGUGACCAUUCUCCUAAAGAGAACCAGCCAAACAGAACCCAGAAAACAGUCCUUGAUGCUUUGACAAUAUUUCCUUAGACAACCCAAAAAAUUUAGGGAAAAAGGAGUUCCUGCUGAUAUAACAAGAAUGAUGAAAUGAAAGGAGGCUCCUUGACACACAACACAUAAGUAUGACCACAUUCUUUAAGUAAAUUAAAGUCCCAACUGAUGUUGCCAAGCAGGUACCUUCAAUUCUCUUUCCUUAGGCCUAUAAAAGAUCACUAAAGAAAGCUCGAUGACUUCAGGAGUUUCAGCAAGCCAAUUUAUAGGAUCAAUUAACAUGUUCUUCCAUAGAAACCUACAGCACUAAGUUUUCUGUCAGACCCGCUAGAAUGUUUACUUUUUGCCAUUGAAAUUUCAUAACUCUCCCCCAAUGUCGGGGGGCACAGUCAAUACUCAAUCUUAACCACACACAGAGCUAGAAUAUUUCACCGAAUAACAGGUAUAAUAUUUUUCAUCAAAGAUACCAUUUCAUAAAGAAUUAGGUGUUGGACCAUACAAGGAAAAUAGCAGUUGAUUUUUGAAAGUAUAAAGCGCACUACACUGAAAACAAUUACUAUCACUAUGCCACAUCCCAGACUUAGCACUGCACAUCAAGAACCUAUCUGAGCCGGACUAAAGGAAAAGAACAAAAAUAUGCUCCAAUCCCUAAGCUCCUGUCUGGCACAAUAUUUAAGAAUGGAUUGACAGGUAUCACCACUAUCAUAUAUAUUGCAUCCCCUACUAAGUUUAACAACCAUUAUGCAGGCUGAACUUUGCCCAAAUGGCUCUUGCUAAUUUUACAAGGACAGAAGAGGAGAAAGAAAUAAAUAUACCUUCAGUCCUUUGCAACUUAUUGUUGUAAUAUCUGUAGUUGAAAAUAACAUUGCCAGCCCUCAAGCUAGAAAAUUGAAAAGGAGAGAGAUAAUUAACAUAGAACUUCACAAGAAAAAAGAAAAAUUUGUCUCUACUCAUUUGACUAACUCGGAUCUUAUUUCUCCUUGUUUUCUUGAUACAAAUAAAACAGAAUAAUAAUGCAGAUAUAAUUUAUUCUUGAUGUAUCCCCAAAUGCACCAAUUACAGCCCAAUGAUCUUAUAUCUUUAGAAAAAUCUCUUGGGACUAUUCAAUCCAUAGCAAGUGCAUGAAUACCUCAAAAUAAAGAGCCCAGAAAAAUGCAGAAAGUUCUUCAAAUUGGAAUUUAGAUGGAUUAUAUGAAGAAAAGAUAAUUAAGGUAACUGCAGCUGCUUGAAAAAUACGAAGAAAUAGCCAAAAUGCAGAUGCCGGAGAGGAAAUGAUGUGUGAUUGAAGCUUUAUUAACACAAGAAUCCUAGUAUUUCUAAGAUUGGAUAUAUAGCUUAUAAAUGGAGGCCAUAUUAAUUACUUUCAGACUAAUAAGAUCAUGGUAUUAAUUACCAAAAUAGGAUGAUUACCGCAUUAUAUGGGAGAAUGAUGAUGAGAUGACAUCAUUGCACAUGGAUGAAUUAUACGGUGAUUUCUCCUUUGCCCCAACCUCUUCAGCAGCAACGAUUACAUGUAGACGCUCUCGUGCACUCUGUUAGAAUCACAUUGGUAAAAGGAUAUAUGAAACCUACAACAUCUAUUUUAUGGUUCAUUGAGAAAACUCCAGACAGUCAAUUAAAAGAAAGGGGUAGCACGAACCAGGAUUUCAGAGCUAUAUGGAACUUGCACAGAUAUGUGUCUGUCUUCAUUUAAUUGUCUCCACUGCAUAUGGACAAAAUAAAGACACUAAAAUGCUGUAGCUAGAUGACUGUAUGGUACAUGUGAAAACAGCAUAUUAUUUCCCAAAAAAAUAGGACCACUGAAUUUCAAGGACAGUAAAAAUAGCAAGAGGACUGGCAAAAAAUUCACCCAAAUGUCCUUAAAAAUCUUAAGCCUGACUUAUCAGCCAUAGGUAUGAACAGGGUUGCAUAUUUUGCAGAGUCAAGAACUCAAGUAGAGUGCACCAAAAUCAGGAAUUCACUCAAGUACCAUUCAAGAAACUCAUAAUCAAUGCUUCAUUCAAUUAUAAAAAGAAAGAAAGAAAACUUGGCACAUUAUACUCUGAAUGAUUCAACAAUGAGAAAGUAAACAACUUGGGAGGCCCAUUAAUCGAGAAAGCUAAGACAUUUCUCCAAAGUUCAGCAUUCCUAAUCCCCUCUCCUGCCUAGGGGAAAGAGAUGUUUGGCCUCUUGAAUCAACAAAAGAAGGACAAAGAGAGGAAACUUUUGUGGACGUGUAUUAGUAACUUUUUUUCAGUACAUUAUGUAUAGUAGAUCUUAUCCAUUGUCUUCUACGGGUUUGUGGAGGGAUAUUAUCUAGCCAAAAUAAUAGCCAGAGUCAGAUCCAAGAUACUACAAUAACAAUGAGUAGCAUCAGAACAAAGCAGCAUUUUAUUGAAAAAAAUACUUCGCAGAAAGAGCUCAAUCACAGAAUAUCAACUCUCUCCGCAUCCCAAAACCACCUUAAAAAACGAAAUGGAGAAGCUACAAAAAUUGGAAAUCUCUAAAAUGGGAAGAAGUCAGCAUUUAAGUGACAUAUUUUAUUCAGUUGGCUCCUAUUAGCAAUUAAGUACAUACCUUGACCAGACAAGUGUGCAUAUCGACAGAAAAGGUCACCUCUGCUCUUUGUCCAAAACUCAGGUUAGGUGACUUCUCCCACAAUAGAAGAGAUUUCAUCGGUAUCUUUCCCAAAAGAUAGAAUCCAGUAGUAUUUCCUGUAAGAAAGGCAAAACUUACACCCGGACAUAAUAGAGUCGUCUUCACAAAAGAGAUAAUCAACAACUGCAAUCAAAGAUGCAUCACCGCAAUACAUGGAGAAAAUUGUUAUACGAUAUGGUACAGUCUCGAGAAAAAGGAAGGUCAUUGAAGAUUCAGACAUUCCCCUUAUAAGCAACUUGAUCUUGUUAUAAAAGAAUUAGCUAGAGUAGCUAGUUUCAUCGAAACAUGCGAUUGAAUAGCAACUAGAGGCUACAAAUAUGAUACUGUGAACGGAAACUUGCGUGCAACAGGUAGCUUACGUUGAGAAGUUGCUACAUCCAGUUGAGUUUUGGUUGUAUCAUUUCCAUUAGGAGAUUUUUCAGGUCCAGCUGCAAAAUAAUUACACUGAGAUGGGAUGACGUCUUCCAACGGAUUCAUCUAUAUGAGUUCUUUUCUCAAAAGUUUAUCAACAUAUUUAGGAUGCACAACUGUAUAUCAAAAGAUAAUGUGAGAAUGAAUCAAAUGACAUCUAAGAAGACCUACCAUAGCACACAAGCAAGAUGAAAAGAGAGCCUAAUUUGGCUUCCAAUGCUAGUUUAUUGAUCUCGGGAAGAAUAAAAUUUGCCCUACUAUGGGUAUCAUCCUCAGCUCCCAUGAAACUGGUCAAGACACAUGCACGACUAUAGCGAUAUUCUGCAGAAUGCUUUAAAGUGAAAAUAAAAUAAAAAUGCAUUAGAAAUAAGAAUGAGAAAGCAUACCAGUGCCUUCAGAUAUGUAAGGUAAGACUGGUAAUUAAUCGGUCAUAGAAAAAACAAAUGAACUACCUCCACACUGUUAACCUCAGACUCUAAUCUCGCCAACAGUACAUACAUAGGAAGCACUCUUCCUGAUUGUAAACCUUCAGCUGUAGUCCUUGGCAGAGAAAUUGUCAUUUGUACUCUACAUAAACAUUAGCAGCAUUGUAAUUUAGAUAUAAAUAUGCAUCUCCAUGCUGAAAAUUCAACAUAUCAGAGAAGACUACCCCAUUAGCCAACAAACAUUAUCAACAUCUUUGGCACCUCCACAGAAGGGUAAGAAAGGGGCAGUUAAACGGCCAGUUAUUAUGGAAUAAAUUUCCAUGUGACCAGAAGUUAUGAAUAUCAUAUGGAGAUUCCAAGGAAAGAUAGUUGAGCUGUAAUUAUUCUGCUCAGGAUAUAGCUUUUCUAAUCACUGUAAAGAAAGAAAAAGUCGAGAAAGGUUUGAUCACUGAUAUUUUGCAGUGCUAGGAUGCACUUGAAACACAAUAUUAACAUGCCGAUACAAGAUGUUGUAUCUAAAGGUUUGCAUUGUUCAGUUAAAGAAACGUCAAAUUCACAUGCUAAAAAGCAAAAAUGUUAAGAGUAAAAAUCAGACCUAAGGAAGAAUUUUGAAAAUCAUGCCUAGGGUCAUGCGCAUGUUUUUCACAGACAUGCUUAUUUUAAAAUGACUGUAAACUAAAAGUAUUCCUUCAUGAUCCAAAACAAACGGCAAACUUAAAACUGACUGUAGAAAGCUAGAUUUAUUGAUUAAAAUAAUCAAUGUAGGGCAUUCAUGAUUGAAAGGUUAGAUUGCUAAGCACUAUAUUGCUUCAAAAUUGUUUAAUUGUAACAAUAAUGCAUUCAUAACUAUCACAACUAUACAACUGUCUAUACAAUUUGCUGUAUAUGGAGGCAAAUUGAAAAAAAAAAAUGGCGGGUAAUAAAUUAUCUAAGUUGUUUCUCAAAAUUUCUACGUAGCAUUAUCAUAACAUGUGAAAACUUAAAUUAUGUCGACAAUUUUUUUUUUUUUUUUAUGAAAGUAGGUGGAAGCAGAUAAGCAAUUGCCCUGAAUCCUUGGCUCUCUGUGCGCGCACAUGUGUCACCAUAACUUGGAGAGAGAGAGAGAGAUAUUCAAGCUCACCAUAACUUAGCAUAUACUUUUUUAUGAUGCAUAAUAUUCCCCAAAUAAAUAAAUAAAAAUUAGAUGAUUUUUGUGAUUGAAGAUGAGGUAUGAAUUAAGUCAUCCAUCCAAUGUCCACAGUGAAUGGCAAGCAUCAACUAGCUUCUUUUCUCAUGUUGGAUGGGCAUAACUAAAACUGCUGCUCUAAGACUAAGUGCCUAACAAUACAUGAAGUCUUAGAACCUAAGCACUUGAUGAUAUUGUAUGCCACUUAUUCAACAAACAGUAGACUUAUGGGAUUUCAAUAUAGAGGUAGACAACAAUGAUCUGCCACUGCCAAAAACCUGUAAGAGGUCUUACCUCCUCCUGUGCUUCACCUGUAUCUUGUAGCUCAGACAUCUCUGAAGAAACAGUGGCUUUAGAAGAAGAAAAAGUCUGGUCAGAAAUAUUAAUAGAGCAUGUGCCCAAGGGCACUGUUAAGAACCCAAACCUAUUUAGCAAGACUCUAUGAUGCAUUAGUUGAAGCUACACUUCCUUUGGACAAUGGUAGACCCAGCAUGGAAGUGAGGAGGCAAGUAUGGAAAUUUCAAAGAACAAUGGGUGCAAGUUUGAAAACAAACUAUCUGAAGAAUUCUCGUGAAUGUCUUGAAGAGGGAGGGAGGGGGUGGCGGUGGCCACUCCUUAGGGCAGUUCCAAUUUGGAAAAAUACCCUUAGGCUUUUAACCUGUUGAUCCACAACAUGCUCGGUAUCCAUCUUGGCUCAGCAGGCAAAAGCAUUCCAUUGCUAUAAAAUUUAAUUAGAUAUUCCAUAUCUAGUGUGGCCAUUAGACAGCCUAUUUAAUAUCGACAGAACAUGAUACACCUAAGCGACUAGGUACAAGUCAAUCGGCUCCAUUACGUUUCUGACAGCACGGCGCUGAAGAAUGUUGUAGAGUUCCACAGGCUUGCAAUAGAUCGAGAGACUCUCUUCAGCAGCAAGUUCCUCUUCAGCAGAUAAAUGCACCUGAGAGUCUUGACGGCACAUCGGAUCCGUACUUCUCGAAUAUCUGCAAUGCCCAAGGCGGUUCUUUCUCAGGAAGAAGAAUGCAGAUAUUCGUCGAAGGGAGCGAGGCGCAACAAUCAAAGAUAGUUCAGGCUCGAAAGCUUCAACGCGACAAAUGAACUGCAUUUUUAAUCAAAACGACUGGAGCUUGAGAAUGAGAACAGCAAAGGGCUGGAGAAAAACGAUGUCAUCCAAAUGCCAUGGAUGACCGAGAAUUUAGAGGGACAUUUUUGCCAGCAUAGAGUUCCCAGCGGGUUAAACCGCGAACAUCCGAACGCAACCAAACUAAACCGAAGAAAACGAAAUAGAAGGGGGGAAAAAGAAGAAGAAUAUAAAGGCAAAAAUGACAAUGAGCGAAGAGGAGAAAGCGUACGAAGCUUGACGAGCUGCUAAAGGGACGCCUGGCAUUAUCCAGCUACAAAGUUGCGACGCAUACGCUCCUCAUAGCUCAAAAUCCUCUAACCUGCAAUUGGGACAACCACAACAACAACAAACACCAGCGAACGCUUCCGUCAUCUUCCUUCCUCGUUCUAAAGAACAACCCGAGUUUCGCGGGGAUUUGAGAGCUGGAGCUGGAACCGAGACUCCGAAAUCCUACUGUUCCAUAGCAAAUUCGAUUCUGGAAUCUGCGGAGCUCAAAUCGCCGAGAGCGGGUAAAAAUUGCUACACUUCGGUUUUACCUAGUGGCGGUCGCCCUUUGCGCUCGGCUGCCCCCGGGGACCGGCGGAAGCUUUUAUAUCUUGCACCCAGCGUCACCCGCCCCGCGCCGGGGAUUCUCCUUACCAGAUUGAGCUCGAACGUCGGUCUUCCGAUGCAGAAAUUCAGGCGAAUUCGACUUUUGUCUUUGUGUGAAGAAUAGCUCCUCCUCCCACGAAGCUAACAGAGAGAGAGAGCGAGCUCAGAGGAAUCCGCGAGAAAAGGGAGGUAAGGCGUAUUGAGAUUUAAUUAGAAAAAAAAAAAAAAAAAAAAUAGGACAGAGAAAAGGCCAGUCCUUGCGCCUCGGUUUCAGCUGAAAGAGUCUCUAGGCUCGGCGAAGGUCACCGCUGCCGGUGGCGGGUGGGCCGUACUGCACGGUCAGGCUCCAGCAAACGUCGCGGGCGGCCCAUGCAUUACUGGGCUUUGCCCGUCACUGUUUUUAGGGUUGAGCCCACUCUUUGGACGGCUACAUGCUCUAAAAUGUUUGAAAAAGACUUCUUUUUACAGAGAGCAUUGAUCAGGUGAUUUAUGAGCAUCCAUUACUCUAAUCUUAUUUAUCAAUUUGAGAAUCUCCCGUUGAUUUCUUGGCUUGUCCAGGUUUUAUGAGUCGAGCCUCGUUUUUUGUUUCUUUUUUAUUUCUUUUUAGGUUUCUACUCUUGCUCAGCUUUGGUGUUAAAGUAAAUGAUUUUCUCCGUGCCUUUUGGGAAUCGGGUGGUUGCCUAUCCUGGUGUUCGUCCUAAAUCUUUGGGUCGAAUUGUAUACGAUCCGUUUGAUAAUAUUCCUGAACUUAAAUCAUUGUGUAUUUCGAUUCAUUUCUUGACCAAGAAUUUCCUUCAUCACCCUGUCUUGACAUCUCCGAUUUGGUGUGCUUUUGAUUCCAGCCGGAGGCUAGUUUGAUUCUAACUGGAUUUUCAACCCAAAAACUGAGAAGGGGUGUCAGUUCAGUUAUCCCCAAUUUGCAUAACGAGUAAGCAAGCUUUUCUCCUCUCCGUCUCGAUCUUGAAAUGAAAAUUGCCGUGCUGGAUCUUCAUUGAAAUCAGUAAAAGAAAAGGAAUUUCGGCUCUUUCCCACACUAAGGUCUUUUCACUGACCGUACUCGUUCAAUCGUCCGAGUUUUGUGUGCUCGCUUGCGUGUGGAGGUUCUCUGAUCUCUUUGCCGGGAUGAUGGCUAUUGUUUUGUGCUUUUUGUGACAAUUUUUAGUAUCGGGAUCUUGUCAUUUUGUGCUUUAGUUUGAGAUUUUGGUAAGAAGGGCUUCGGUAUAUUGGAUCCUAACUUUCGUUUCAAAAGUUCUGCUAGUGCAUUAGGCGAUAAGAAGCGAUCACGUGCAAAGAGGUUUGACUAUAUAGUUAAUUCUUCAAUCUCUAUUUUUUUUUUUUCAUAAUUGUUACUAAAAUUUAGAUGAUAUAUUUCAUUUUUGAUGGAAAAAUAAAAGUGCAUUUUGCUUUUGUUUAUCAUGAACGGCUUUGAAACAUUUCGAGAUGGCGAGGGAAAAAAUGGAAUUCUUAUGAAAACCAGUGAAGUUUUUAUCUUGUUGGGCAAAAGACAUUUGAUUGGAAAAUUAAUCUUAUAAUAUAUAACAGCAAAAAAAACAAAAACAAAAAUCGAAAAAUCGAACCAAACUGAACCGCAAUUCGUAUUCGGUUAGGAUCGAAUUUGGUUCGGUUCAAUGAAUUUCCUCAUCAGUUCAGUUCGGUUUUCCAAGAAAAUCAAACCAAACCAAACUGCUUACACCCCUCAACAGUUACCUUUCUCACUUACCAUCGAAGAUGAUCGGCGUCUAUGUUGGUAAUUUUCAUCUAAAGUUGGUCCGGUGUACAUUGAAUCUAAGUUGAUGGACCAUUUGUGUAAUUGAACCUACUUUUGCAUCAAAACAUUUUUUGCUCGAAUUCACACCAAGAUUACAAAAUAGCCUAAUUCGCUCCAGCAUGCAAAACAGAUUCUUAUCGGUUCACAAACUCCUAGCUCUAUGACAUGUUUCGGUUUGGGCUGGUCCAAGGUUGGCCCCUCAACAGUUACCUUUCUCACUUACCAUCUUCAAUGAGAUCACCAGAGAGGAGCUCGAUUGAUUUAUCUUCUACCUUCCACAUUCAUAGAAACCCUAGAUUGAUUUACCUUCUAUGGUGACACAAAAACCUUGCCGCCUACUUUCUACUCCCACCUCAUCCUCGCCUCCCUCCUCUCGCUCCUCCAACUUCGGCCCUCGCUCCCCUCUCUCCCUCCCUUCCCUCCUCCGCCAUCACCUUUGCCCCUUCUCCGACAACUUGAGGUUGAGAGAUGUGAUCAUCCUCAACAUUAGAAAGGAGUUGGAGUGCCUCUUCAGCAUGACGAGAGAUUCGAAGAAGACGCUAGAGCACCGAAAGAUGAUUAUGAAGAAAAAUGAUGAAAGGACAAGAUACAUCAUGAAUUAUAGUACCAACGGUUGUUUGGACAAACUUGUUGUGAUUUGUACAAAUCUCUGACUAUUUACGUAGUACAAUUAUGCCUAUUCCUAAUCCUAAAUGGAAUGAAACCAUCAUAAAAGAAUCAGCAAGGAUGUAAGGAUCAUGAACAGCACUAGGAUUCUGCGGAAUGAGGUUGCUGACAAAAGAAUGGGUAAAUAUGCACCAUAAAAAUCCAAUGAAAAACACGCCCUAACUUUUCGCUUUGCGAAUUUAUCAUCUUAAAAGUCAUCCAGUAACUACUCUUGCUUUCCCCCAUUUUUCAAGUUAUUCUGGCAAUCGCAAAGAUUUUUCCAUUUGUUGAAAAAUUAUAUUCGUUUUUUCCACAUAAAUUUGGUCGGGAGAUACUUUAUGAAGAUGAGAGCAAAUAAUUCCUAAUACUUUUAAAACUACAAAACAUUAAAUAGAGAAGUAUAAAAUCAAUUUAAAGGGAGACGAGACUUGUAAGGAAAGUGAUUAGAUUUAUUUACCAAAGCAGAUAUGACAUACAUCUAGAUUUGUUAAUGUAAUGAGCUUACAAGCCAUAGCUUCUACUUGUACACUAUCCACAAAUCAAGUUCUUUGAUCUUACCAUUAUGCAUUGACAUCUCUACUUUCACUAUUAUUGUUGUAUAUUUACGGAGACUACUACUACUAGUAUUGGUAGAACUGACCUAGCCCUUUCCCCUUUAACAAAGAUGAAAGAUGAUCUCUUAACCUUCUUAUAUCAAAACUGCUAUAUGAGCAUCCCCAACUAUCCCUACUUCAAUUCAUUCGUAAUUUUUCUGUCCAAUAUCCUAUUGUCUCAAUUUUUACACCUACAAAAAGCACGUGACCCAAUACUUUCAAUUCAUUAAAGUGAUUAAUUUUUUUAAGAGAAUGGAGUUUGUAGUUGGAGUGAGAGGGGUUUUUGUAGACAUAAGCCUUUAUACAAUUUCAUAUUGAUGUAAGAAGUUAAUUUAAUCAUAUCAUUUCUUUUAUAUUAUGCUCUCUCUAUGUUUUUUCAAAUUUUGUCGGUUGCAAGAGAUGAAGAAAACACUAGAAGAUUUGUCCUCUGGAAAAAAAAAAUUCUUAUAGAGAAUUAUCAUAUAGUUCUUUGUCACACUGUAUUGCUGGAUUUUCAUCUUAGAGAAAUAUAAAGGAAUUCACCAAAAACAAUGGAAUGUUGAUAGAUUCGUUAUUAUCAUCUCAUAUAGAGUAGACUAGUAAGUAGUUCAAGUUAUGGUUUUAAUUUUGCCUUGUUUUGCUCACUGAUGAUUGUUGUUAUUUGUCAUUUCAGCGAUGUUGAAGUUAGGAUAGAAUCUAAGUACUUCAACUAUUCAUAAAUUAUGUCUAGCUUUUGGAGUCCUUCUACCUAACGGCCUGUAUGUUAAUAUUAAUGGUAACGUUAUUUAUUUUCUUUAAUUCAAACAAAUCUAUUUUAUGCUUCAUAUAUGUGGUGCUAAAAUAGACUUAAUUCUUUUCUUUCAUUCACACAUAACAAUAAUAUUUUCCUUAAUUACAGUAUUAAUUAAUAUUACCCACAUAAAAAAACUCUUGCACUCUUCUUUGAUUUUUUUAUUUAAAAAUAAUAUUUUAAAUAUCAAACAAUCAAAAAAGAAUUAUGGAGUGUCUCCUUCCGCACUCUCCACUAAUCAAGUUCUUUAAUUUUACCAUUAUGCAUUGAUAUUUUUCAAUUCAUCAAAUUAAGGAAAAAUUUGGCGAUUAAUUUGACCGAAUUUUGAUCAAUCGUUACUUUUCCGUCCAAUAUUUUAUUGUCUCAAUUUUUAUAUUUACGGAAAACUCGUGGCCUAAUAAUUUUAAUUCAUCAAAGUAAUAAAUUUUUUUUUUUAAGAGAAUGGAGCUUGCAGUUGGAGUGAGAGGGGUUUUUGUGGACAUAUCUAAAAGGUUAAUUGAAUCAUAUUACUGCUUUUAUAUUAUGUUAUCUCCGUAUGACCUUAUUUUUCUAAUUUUGUUGGUUGAAUAUGAGAUGAAGAAAAGGCUAGAAGAUUUAUCCUCCAGAAAAUGAAAUUUUCUUGUGGAGAAUAAUCAGACAGUUCUUUGUCACACUAUGUGACUUAAUCUUAUAGUCAAGGGAAAAGAUAAUGAACCUCAAUGAAAUGAAGAUGAAUUACUAUCUCUGAAUUUUCAUCUUGGAGAAAUGCAAAGGAAUUCCCAAAAAAUAAUGGGUUGUUGAUAGAUUCGUUGUUAUCGUCUCGUACAUAGUAGGCUAGUAAGUAGUUCAAGUUAUGAUUUUAAUUUCACCGUGUUUUGCUCAUUAACGAUUGUUAUUAUUCGCCAUUUCAGCAAUGUUGAAGCAGGGAUAGAAUCUACUGUACUUCAACUAUUGAUAAAUUUUAUCUAGCUUUUGGGGUCCUUCUACCUAAGGGUUGUAUGUUAAUAUAAAUGGUAAGGUUAUUUCUUUUCUUUAUUUCAAACGAAUUUAUUUUAUGCUUCAUAUAUGUGGUGCUAAAAUAGAAAAGGAAUUUCUAUUUUAUUUUUUUCUUUUAUUCGCACAUACCAAGAAUAUUUUCUUUAAUUACAAUAUUAAUUAAUAUUAGCCCACAAAAAGAACUCUUACACGCUUUUUUGAAUUUUUUUAUUUGUGAAUAAUAUUUUAAUCUUGAACAAUAAAAAAAAAAAUACUAGGUGCCUCCUUCUGCACUCUCCACUAAUCAAGUUCUUUUAUCUUACCAUUAUGCAUUGAUAUUUUUAAUUCAUCAAAUUAAGGAAAGUUUUGUCAUUAAUUUGAUUGAACUUCGAUCACUUGUAACUUUUCCGUGCAAUAUACUAUUAUCUCAAUUUUUACAUCUACGGAAAGCUCGUGGCCGAAUAUUUUUAAUUCAUCAAAGUGAUAAUUUUUUUUAAAGAAUUGGAGUUUGUAGUUAGAGUGAGGGAUUUUUGUAGACAUAAGCAUUUAUACAACUUCAUAUUGGUGUAAGAAGUUAAUUUAACCAUAUCAUUACUUUUAUAUAAUGCUAUCUCUAUAUGACUUUUUUUUUCUAACUUUGUUAGUUGAAUAUCUUGAACCAAGAGAUGAAGAAAAGGCUGGACGUUUUCUCCAAAAAAUGAAAUUUUCUUGUGGAGAAUUAUUAGGCAGUUCGGAAAAAUGAGUCUUAAACUCAUAUAUGACCCAUUUAAAUCAUAAAUUGAUCGUAUAUGGUCAUUAUUUUUUAAAGAAACUAGUUAAAUGUGUUUAAAAAUUGAAAGUUUAAGAUAAAUGGGUCUUAAAUGAAUUGGAAUUAGAACCCAUUUUCAACUAAAGCCUCACAAUCUCUCUCUUCCCACUUUAACUUUAUAAAAAUAUUUUUUUUAUUAAAAUCAAAAUUAUAUUUAGUUUUUAUAUUUUAAUAUUCUUUUCUUUUUCCUUUUUCUUUUUUCUUUUUUCUUUUUUCCUUUCUUCUUCCUCUUUCCUUAGUCGGUGGCCGGCACGGCAAUGGCUAGCAACCAGCCAAGCGAGGCUUGAGCUCACCAAAUUCGACUAGGCGGAUUCGGCGAACUUGAGCUCGUCGACAUCAAGCGAGCCUAGCGAGUUAGAGGCUUACCUGUGGUCGAUUGCCAGCCAUAGUCGUGGUCGGUGGCCAACUAAAGAAGAAGAAAAAGAAAAAGGAAAAAUUAUAUUCUUAAAAAAUUAAAAAAUUAAAAAUUAAAAAUUGUUUUUUAAAUGAAAAAUAAUUAAAAUUUUGAUUUUUUUAAAAUAAAUUUUUUAGAAAAAUUAUAAAAAUUGUCCAUUAAAUUUAUAUUGCAUACAAGUAUUUUAGCAAUACCAUUUAAAACAUAUAUAUAUAUAUAUAUAUAUAUAUAUAAGAAAUAAAAUUUCUUAGGUUUAGUUAAAUUGGUCGGGUAUGAGUCGGAUCAGGUAUAAGGGCGCAUUUGGUAACGAUUCUGUUCUCGGAAGUAGAUUCUGAUUAGAAAUAAUUCUUUUUUAUUAUAUUCCCAGGAAUUGAUUCUAAGCAUUUUAAGCUAUUUGGUAACUGUUCAAAAUUUCUGAUUAUGUAAUAGAAUUGUGUUUGGUACCGUACUCAUUAAUUCUGUUUCAAAUCAAUUUCUUUUAAUUUUUAAAUAUUUUUUUUACUUUUUUACUUUUUUUUUUCUUUCAUUUUUCUCUUAUUCUUCUUCUUCUUCUUGUGGCCAGUUGCCGGACCGGCGACCUCACCAAAGCGUUGCCGGUCCUCGACGAGGUUGGCCCUCGUCGGCCGAGCCUCACCGAUGGCCAGGCCGGCCUUGUCGGGGCUGGGCGAGGCCUGCCUAGCCACCGACGGGGCUAGGCGAGCCUCCUCGCCCAGCCUCGGUGAGGCCCACCUAGCCACUGGCGAGCUCACCGGACCUUGCCCUGGCCUGGCGAGCUCACCGGACUGGCGGACGGUGGCAAGCCUUCGGCAAGCUCACCGGACCGGCGGACGGUGGCGAGUAGUGGUGGACGGCGGUCGCGAGAUGGCCAAAAGGAAGAAAAAGAGUUGUUGGUUUUGGUUCUCAAAUUUGUUCCCAAAACAAGAAUCAACUUUUUUUUUGUUCUUGAUUAUACUCCCAAUCUUAUUCCCAGGAACAAAAAUUUUACCAAACGCGAUUCUUUGUUCCCAUUCUAUGCCCAAAUUGAUUCUGGGAACAAAGAAUCAUAAUUUGGCCAUGUUUGGAUGGUUACCAAACAGGACCUAAGUAAAAAAAUUUACACUACAAUAACUGGAUCAUAAAUGGGUUAAAUGAGUUUGAUACUAUUUUAUGACUCGACCCAAACCCGACCUGACCCACCCGUUUAAUAGGUCUGGUCACACAAUGAAAUGAAGAUGAAUUCUUAUUGCUGGAUUUACAUCUUGGAGAAAUGCAAAGGAAUUCCCAAAAAAAAAUGGAUUAUUGAUAGAUUCGUUGUUAUCGUCUCAUGCUGGUAAGUAGUUCGACUUAUGGUUUAAUUUUGCCAUGUUUUUCCUCACUAAUGAUUGUUAUUAUUUGCCAAUUUCAGCGAUGUUGAAUUAAGGGAUAGAAUCUAUAGAAUUUCAACUAUUCACAAAUUUUAUCCAGCUUUUGGAGUCCUUCUUCGCUUUGGCUAUAUGUCAAUAUAAAUGGUAAAGUUAUUUAUUUUCUUUAAUUCAAAUAGAUCAUCUAUUUUAUGCUUCGUAUGUGGUGCUAAAAUAUAAAAGGAAUUUAUAUUUUAUUUCUUUUCUUUCAUUCACACAAAGCAGGAAUCUUUUCUUUAAUUACAAUAUUAAUUAAUAUUACUGCACAUAAGAACACCUCUUACACUAUUCUUUGAAUUUUUUUAUUUGUAAAUAAUAUUUUAAAUCUCAAACAAUUUAAAAAAAAAAAAUACCAGGUGUCUCCUUCUACACUCUCCACUAAUCAAGUUUUUUGAUCUUACCAUUAUGCAUCGAUAUUUUCAAUUCAUCAAUUUAAGGAUAAUUUUGCAAUUAAUUUGACCGAACUUUGAUCACUCAUAACUUUUCUGUCAAAUAUCCUAUUAUCUCGAUUUUUACGUCUAUGGAAACCUUGUGGCCCAAUAUUAUUUUCAAUUCAUUGAUAAUUUUUUCGAAAACAGAAUGGAGUUUGCAAUUGGAGUGAGAGAGGUUUUUGUAGACAAAAGCCUUUACACAACUUCAUAUUGGUGUAAGAAGUUAAUUUAAUUAUAUUGUUGCUUUUACAUUAUGCUAUCUCUGUAUGACUAUUUUUUUUUCUAAUUUUGUUAGUUGAAUAUCUUGAACCAAGAUAUGAAGAAAAGCUAGAAAAUUUCUCCUUCUAAAAAUGAAAUUUUCUUUAAGCAUUAUUAAACAAUUCUUUGCCGUACUGUGUGACUUGUCCUUAUAGUCGAGGGAAGAAGAGGAGCCCUAACGAAAUGAAGACGAAUUCUUAUCGUUGGAUUUUCAUUUGGAAAAAUGCAAAGGAAUUCCCAAAAAAUAAUGGAUUGUUGAUAGAGUCAUUGUUAUCGUCUCAUAUAUAGUAGGCUGGUAAGAAGUUAGAGUUAUAAUUUUAAUUUUGCCAUAUUUUGCUCACUAACGAUUGUUGUUAUUUGCCCUAUGUUGAAGCUAGGGAUAGAGUCUAUAGUACUUCAACUAUUUAUAAAUUUUAUCCAGCUUUUGGAGUCCUUCUAGGCUGUAUGUUAAUAUAAAUUGUAAAGUUAUUUAUUUCUUUUAAUUCAAACAGAUCAUCUAUAUUAUACUUCAUAUAUGUGGUGCUAAAAUAGAAAAGGAAUUUCUAUCUUAUUUAUUUUCUUUCAUCCACACAUAGAAAAUCGCAACUCCAAAAACUCCUCAAUCGAACCUUGUAGUUCAAAAUUUACAUAACUCCAAAUUUGUGCCAUAACUUCUAAAAUUAUUCCGACUAGAUGAAUAAUUGGCUUGAAAGAAUCUUUUCUUUAAUUACGAUAUUAAUUAAUAAUAGCCCACAUCAGAAAAACUCUUACACUCUUCUUUUAAUUUUUUAUAUGUAAAUAAUAUUUUAAAUCUCGAACAAUAAAACAAUACCAGUUUUUUUUGGAGUAUAUGUGUCCGGAUAAAGGAUCUCUCCAAUAUAUGCAGACACUUAAACUAUUUAUUACACUUAAGCUACUGUCGCAUUCCAUGUUGCAGAAUCUCCAUAGCAAGUGUUACAAAAGUCCCCCACAACUUGUGAUUGCCAAGCAAAUUACAUGGUUGAUUUUGCUUGAAUACAUGGAGACCAAUGUGAUCAUGAUGAGGCAUUCUUCAUUCGAGUGUGCUUCAUCCUACAACCACAAAAUCCGUGGCCAGUGUCUGUCCACCAACUCCAGCCUCAUUAUAACCCAACAUCUUACGGUCUAGAACGAGAAGUAUAAAAAGAGAUGCUCCCACGGGUUCACCAUCUUAUGGUGCCGAGUGGGCCGCACUGUACCGCCACCGUGUCGCAGUCAUGCUCAAUAAAACGUCGUCGAUAGCGCUCACAUUAUUGGGCUUUGGCCCAUGAUCUUAAAUGAACUUGCAUUGUAUGGCGGGUUUUAGGGUCAAGCCCUCACUUGGGAUGGCUACACGCUCUAAAUUGUUUGAAAUGACUUCUCUUUACACGGUCCUCAUCCAUCACCGUUGAUUUGGAUAUAUGAUCAAUCUUUCGAAUUAUAAUUACCGGAUUGUGCAAGGGAAAUUGCUCAAUUGGUAUUAAACUAUUGUAUGGAUGUCCUAAAUUUUCUAAUUCAGUUUUACAUCUUUGUGCGGUACUUUAAUGUAGUUCUCUCGGCUAAUUUUUCCUGGAAAUCGCUAAUGUGGCAGAAUGGCAUAGACAACGGUUGGUGAUGAUUGGAUCAUUACAUCAACGAUUUCCAACAAAAAUUGAUCGAAAAAACUACAAUGGAAUUAUUUGCAAAUGUUGGAGACUAAAUUGACAAAAUUGAAAAUUUAAUUACUAAAUUAGUAUCCAUACAAUAGGUUUAGGAUUAAUGGAAUAAUUUUUCCAUCUUGCAAAUGGUUUACAGUUAUGCAUUCUCAUUACUUUCAAUUGAAAGAAAGUUGUUAAGAGUCUAUAAAACACAUAAAAUACUUCAUAACAUGACAGUCUAACUGAAUUAUCAUAUCAAAAAAGAGAAAGAACAAUUGAGGCAAUACCAUGCCCAACACAUCCCAACAUGUCAAAUUGAUUACAACCCCCAUCCAGAGGACAUAUGAGCAUUUGGUUGUAAGUGCUAUGAUGUUUACCGUUGCAACUAGUGAUUUCAAAGGAUAUCUUUUUAAGGGCUUUCUUAGAUCUCUUUGGUUACGAUCACGAGUCUUUGUCAGCAAGCAAUGUGAGAUCAGACUGUGAAAAGGAAAACUCUAACUAUCGAAUCGAAUUGGAAAAAGAAAAUUGCUUGUGAUUCAUCAACCUUGUUUAGUCACUAGUUUAGCCAUCACUGUCUCUAUGGAGUAGAUCAUCAUGUUCCAACAAGUCCCUAUCGUACGGAAUUAUUUUGUGCGUCUUCACAUAGACCAACCAGGAAUGGCCAGGAUGGCCACCCCAUCACAUAUAUAUAAACUCACGUCCGCAGAGACAUCGCAACAUCAACACCAACAAGUUCUCCAACAAUUCAGCAAGAACACAACCUACGACUCAGUGGUGGGAUUUCCUUGACCUCUUUUUGUGGCGGGGAACGCCAUCUCGUGGGUGCUUCGAGCUCGAGGUCGACGAGGACGAGUCAGCGUCGCCCAAAUCGAGUAAGGGCAAAAGCCCAGAUUGGGUCCCAUCAAAAUCCGCGUCCAUGUCUCCUUCGAUCGUCAGCCCUUCGAUCCUCGCCGCUAUCGAGUCCCCCCUGCUUCUUAUAUCCACUACUGCUGCCCAACACACACACAUACACAGAGAAACAAAGAAGAGAACUGUAAAACUGAACUUUACGGCUUCAAUGGGUGUGUGAAGUUCCUAGUUUUCUUGUACCUGGAUUGGAUAAGAACCAGAGAAUGGCCGCACACACGAGCAAGACCAGGGGUAUUAUGUGGACGGCGUUCUCGGCGAGCUUGUUGCGUGUUUUCUCCUUCCUCAUCAUUUCCAACACCGGGUCGUAAGCAGGCAGCUCGCUGCCCUGGAACGAUCCCAUCCUCAGGAUCGUUGACGCCAUCGGCGGCGCAUGCAUGUGGUCAUCGUCCGUCGUUUUGUUCCAGCUCGAUGACCUGUACAUCUCCGUCGAAACGAAGGCUAAACUGGGUGGAUGUGGAGGUGAAACCCCGGGAGAGCAAAGCCAGUGGGGAGAGGAAGGAAGGUGGCUGCGUGAGUUUCAGGGAUGAAAUGGUGGUUUCAAGAUUCUGGAGACUUGGUUGCUUCUUGUUCGUUACAAGGUUGUCCUGAUCUCUGGCCCGCAAAAGCAGGUUAGAUCCAACCUAUGACUUUGUCUUGGCAUCGGACAUAAAUCUGUUUGGAUCUUCUGCUUGCUCAUUUACACGUGUUUCUUUUAUCCACUCUCCUCUGUUAAAUCGUUGACAUGCCCAAGAUUUCAAUUACGUAAUCACUAGCCAAUAGUACACGUGUAUCUAUUAAAGCUUUUCUUAUUUUCAUACAUUAAAUUUGUAUGCGGCUCCUUGUGUUGACACAAUUCGAUGUUAUCAUAAUCUCAGGAAGAUCACAUGUCGUGGAUAUUAUCAUAUUAAUGUUGGUCAAAAUUACCAAAAAAGUCUUAAACCUAUCGCAAUUGUGCUAAUUCGGUUCUAAACUUAUUUUUUUGACCAAUUUUGGCCGGAUGAACCGAUCGAGAAUAUUUAUAAAAGGCUUAUGACUCAAUUGGUCAAAAAAAUAAAUUUGUGACUAAAUUGACACAAUUGCAAUAGAUUUAGGACUUUUUUUAUAAUUUUCCCUACUAACGUAUCUAAAUGAGACUUUAAAAGAAACUAUCUUCCAUUUGUUAUAAAUGGAACAAUUUUAUUCUUCGGCCAAAAUUAAAUUACUAUUAUCGGUUUUAUUAUUGUUAUUGUCAUUAUGUUGUAUUUCAUAAUGUAUUUGCCUUGCAUUAAGUAGCUUUCUUGUCUAUUUUCCCUAGCAAAAGAUUGUCAUGACACGAUCCAAACUAAGCUUUCAAAUAACCACGACAUUAUGGUAUGUGGCUUAAUUCUUUGAUUCACUAAUGACUUUUUUCAGCGUAAAAAUUGAAAUUCCAUACGAUUCGGAUACAAUAAAGGUUUAAAGAUCAAGGUAACAAGCGAAGUGGCAGCAAUUCGUAUUCAUAUGCAUUACAGAUGCAGAGGUUGGGGCAAAGAAAACAAAGUUGAGGAUGUAGCAACUAUUGAUUGAUCUUGAGAGUAUCGAUGAAGCUCUUGCGCUUUCCAAGGUCAUUGGCAGCUAGAAAGUUCAGAAAAUCCCUGAAGCUACUACCCCGGUACUUUUUCCCUUGCGCACCCACGAGUUCCUCGGCGGGUUCCAUCGUCUCGUCCAGGCCGAGACUAUGCAGGCUAGCAAUGGAAAAUCGGGUCCUCUCAGAGUUGAGGACCGCUCUGUGGCAGACGCUUUUGUAUAGGCCGUUGCUCAGAACCUCCAGAUGGUCACCCACAUGGACCUGUAAGGCGCCAGGGAUUUUAGGGACCGACUUCCAGGUGCAGUCCUCGAGGUCCAUGAUCUGAAGUCCAGGGGAGCUCUGGAGAACAACGGUCAAGCAAGUGUAGUCACAGUGGGGCGGUAGUCCUAGCGCCACCUCUGGAUUCGGGCAUCGCGGGUAGCAGUUAACUGCCAUUACUUGCAUCCCCGCUUCCAUUUUAGAGGUCAGAUACGAGGGUCCUAGUCCCAAGCCCUCAGUGAUGGCCUCCAUCAGGUCCACCGUCACUUUCCUCGCUUGGGCGCAGAAUCUGCCCAUCUUCUCCCUGGUACAAUCAUGAGAAAAGAUAUGAGAUGUAGAUAUGCUUAGAGCUGCGGCCCGAAUACAUGGACCUUGCAUUCUGCUAGUCCUGAUCGGUAUGUCCUAACUCUAAAUGCGUUCAACUGUCCCUGACUAGCUUAGGAAAUGAUGAGGACAUUCCUAAAUGCAGCAUUUUGACUACAAUCUAAUUUCGGUCUUCAUGCACCUCAUUAUUCAGUUAUACGAUGUCACUAAGUUUAUCAUUUCAAAAAGUUUGACCUCGCCAAGUUGGACCACUACCCGCUCCUCAUUACUCUGCUUUGCUUCAACUCUGACGUUGUGCUAAGUGGCUGGCUUUAAGAUUGCGGCUGCGAGUGUCGGUGCGUAUGUAGUUUGAGGAUUUAGUGAAUUCUUUAUGUGAAGCGAGCAGACUUUUUGUCUCUCAUUUCGCGGGAGCAGGGACAAAACUGAAUUAUAAAAGAGCCGUGCGUGACUACCUUCUUCUCACCGUUUAUUUAUUUAAUGGUAGCGAGACAACCACCCCACCGAAAUACAAAAUCAAUAUUUCAGCUGUCAAGCGGCGGUGCCCUUAUAUAUGAUCAGAUAAUGCCCUGAUCAAUUAAGCAUAUGGCCAAAAGCCGCUCUCUGCCGCACGACAUCACUGUGAACGAGAUGUGGCUUCUGUCCUCCUAGAGUGUGGUCGGUCCGAAUGUAUGACCCGGUUCAUUUUCAUAUGCAAGCAAUGAUUCGUUCACAUUCAUCAAACAAAAGGUAAAAGAGAUGGUACCGAUAACGAGGGGGAUUCUCCGGCCAUUGACCCAUCCAGUGUUCCAGUGGAUGUGCAUAAUGCUUGAGGAAGACCCUCCAGAACUGUGUUUUGUCUACCCCGUCCUUGAAACUCGUCGCGUAUCUCACCGGCUUGUGUACGUCAUUCGACAUGUACUUCAUCUUCUCAUCGGUUGGUGAGUCGAAAAAGCUGGAUGCCGCCUGAAGGGCUUCGUCCAUCACGGUUUGGCAAAUUCCAUGAUUCACAAUCUGUUUCCACACGAAGCGCACGUCGCAAUUGAGGAAAUUUAAUGGUCAGGGCACUUGGAAAGCAAAUUAUAGUAUGGAACAAAAUCGUAACGAGACGUCCAACAGUGCAUACAUUUAUUAAUCUAUGCUAUCUAUAUACAUCUAUGCUUACCUGGAAGAAGCCGAAGCGACAGCAAGCAUUCCCAAUGUCCUUGAUCACCAAGGACCGUUGCACGGCAUCCUUCCACAGCCCACCUAGAUCAAUGAGAGGCACAGUGACCGUAUCGGGAAAUAAGCUGGGGCGAUCCCUCAGCGGAACUUGGUAAGCGUCCGGCACAUAUCCAAGACCCUGCUCUUGAGCCGACUCGCCGGUCUUCCACAUGCCCGAGCUCGCAGUAGCCCCCAUGAUAUUUAUGCGAAAACAAGGACAACACGAGAGAAGCCAAAAAGGGUUGGAAGCAGAAGAGAAGAAAUGGCAGUGGGUCGACCCGCGUUGAGGGAUCUCUCCUUAUAUAGCAAUUCUCGGUGUGUGAUGUGCACGGGUAUGACGGUUUAGCCGUGCCCAGUUCACUUACCCUCUUGAUUAAAUGUAUCUUUGCUUCUAUAGGACGCGGACAGCAGGAGACCAGCUGGUUCUCUGCACGAGGACCCGAAAGCACUCGCCGACAAAUUACUACCUUUUGGGGGUUUAAAACAGUAAAGAGAGAAAGCUGCGUGUGGACUUCCAUAUUGAAAGAAAGGCCAGAGGUCAGCUGUUUUCUCUUUCCAUUCGUUUUAUAUUAUUCUAAUAUAGCAUUCACUAUCGAGGGAAUCAAGCGGGCGAAGAAUGUUAGACUUCAUGGCGCUCCGCUAAAAGGUAGGGUUUGGACGUACGUGGGCGGGCCGUAUCAAUAGCUAACGUAGGAGAGUUACAUUGAAUCGGUACGCGUGGACAUCGAGGGCCACGGUGGAACACUGGGUUGCCCCGUCCCUAUUAUACGCCCGCAAUCUUUGCCCAGAAGCAUCUCCAAUCCUGAGGGUGGCGUCUCCGGGGACAAGUGUCUUUGCAUAAUGAGGGACACAUGGGCAAACAUUCCUCCCCACCUCCCACCAACUCGAUGAUAAAAACAUAUGUUGGCACAUCAUUGCAAGACCUUGAUUGGAUGGAGUGAAAAGUGAAGAGAUUGAUAAAAGAACAAGCGUCUUUGCAUAAUUAGGGGCAUGUGCAAACAUUCAUCCCCACCCCCACCAACGCGAUCAUAAAAACACAUGUUGGCACGUCAUUGUGAGAAUUUGAUUGGAUGAGUAAAAAGUGAAGAAGCGACUGCUUAAAGAACAGAAAUUUUGAUCAUGAGAUAAUUUGUAAGAUAGCCUACAGCAAUGGAGAACUAUAAGGAGAAAAAAAAAGAGAGUAGCCAGACAUGAAAGUUAAUCGUUUCCCGGGGCGCUAAAUUCAAUCUUCUGUAUUGUUACGAGACCUCACUCAAGUGUUUGACGCUUCAUGUGUGGAAGACAUUUGGUUAACAUAUGGAAUGGUGUAUGGUCAUCACAAGCAAAAGUGUUUUAAAAAUAAAAAUGGGUGGUACCUGGACAAUGAAAAAUGUUUCGCUGAAAAGUUGAUUGUCGAUUUUGUGUGAAAACUGAUUCCGUGAUGAUGUUGGACAUAAAAUGAUUGGCUUUUGAAGUAGAGAUGGAUCACAAACUAGAAAUGAUAAAUGCUUGUAGAAGAUGAAAGAAGAAAUUGUAAGUACAUCAAUUCAAAAUGUGUGUUUUCAUGAUAUUCCCAUAAUUACGCCCUGCCAAUAUUUAUAGCCCACUAAUUACAGCUGCUUACAAACAUUUACCCCUUUUAAGUAUGGUUAUAAUUGCAUUCUCGAGAUUCUAGGCUUCCUUCCAUGUCAACCUUAUUUACAAGUAGUUAUAACUUUGAAACCCACUAAAGAAUGGGAGUGGGUCGACCCACAUGGAGGGCUCUCCUUAUAGAGCAAUUCUUGGGGCGAGAGUUGCAGGUUCUCUGCACGGGGACCGAAGCACUAGCGGACAGGACUUAACUUUUUGGAGUUAAUGCUUCUUUUCUCUAGGAGAUGGAAAGCAGGAGAAGUUGCCGGUUCUCUGCACGGGGACCGAAUGCAUUAGAGAACACAACUUUAUUUUUCGGAGCUAAUGGGCCGCAUGUUUUUACUUCUUAUUUCUGUUUCUGAACGCUUUUUUUAUUUUUUUGUUCCCGGAACAAAAUUGGAACAAAAAAAAACAAAAAAAACUUACUUCUUGUUUCAGAAACAAUUUUGAAGAAACACUUCUUCUUCUCUCUCUUCUCUUUUCUUCUUCUUUUUUUCUUCUUUUUUCUUUGGUCGGUCGCCGGCCUCGGCCAUGGCUGGCGACCGGCUGUUGAGGGCUGGCGACGCCGUCGAGGGUCGGCAACCUCGCCGGAGCGUCGCCGUGGCUAGGCGAGGCUGCUGACCCCGUCGGCCGGUCGCCGGAGGCCGGUGACCGGCCGAAAGAAGAAAAAAUAAAAAAGAAAGGAAAAAAUGAAAAAUAAAAUAAAAAUAUUAAAAAAUUAAAAGAAUAAAAUUUACCAAACGUGUUUCUAUUCAUUUUUUAUUCCCAGAACAAAUUUACCAAACGCAUUUUUCUGGUCAAAAUUUGUUCCCCGGAACAGAAACACUUUUUUUUUUAUUUCUGUUCCCUGGAACAAAAAAAGAACAGAAGUGUUUCCAUGCAGCCCCAAUGCUUCUUUUCUCUAUAGGGGAUGGAAAGCAGGCGAGAGGCCAGUUCUCGGCACCGGGACGCGAAGCACCUUCUCACCAGUGGACAAAAUUCAACUUUUUGGAAUUUUAAAACAUUGAAAAGGAAGGUUGUAUGUGGACUCCCUAUUGGAACGAAUGCCAGGGCUCAACAGUUUUUACUUUCUUUUUAUAUAUUCGAAUACAGUAUUUACUAUUGACGUAAUCAAUGGCACGUUUGAUAACGUUUCUAUUUAAAAAUUGUUUCAAAAAAUAGAAAUAAUUUUAUUAUUUCUAUUUUUUGAAACAAUUUUUAAAUAGAAGAACGCGUUUGGUAACUAUACACAAUUUCUAUUCCUAGAAUAAAAAAAGAAUAGAAACACAUCUAAUAAACUUGUAUAAUUUUCUUGUUCCUUUAAUUUUUUAAUAUUUUUAUUUUCUUUUUCUUUUUUCUUUUUUUUCUUCCUUUUGGCCGGUCGCCGACAACGAGGGCCGGUGGCCUCGCCUGCCCUCGAUGGCCAGUCCCCGACCAUGGCCGAGGCCGGCGACCGGCCAAUGAAAAAAGAAGAAGAAAGGAAAAUGAAGGAAAAAAAUAGAUGAGAUAAAAAUUGUUUCUGGGAAGUGUUCCUGGGAACAAAAAACAAGUUUUUCUUAUUUCUUAUUUCUAUUCUAAAUUUGUUCCCUGAAACAAAAACAAGUCCCGGGAAUAAAAACGUAAACAAACGUGUUUCUGUUCUUUUUUUUGUUCCCCGAAAUAAAUAAAAAGACAAAAAAACAAAAAUUGUGUUCAUGAUCGGAAAAAAAGAACACAAACAAACAGCCCCCAAGUGGUUGAAGAACGUUGACAUGGCCUGCACUAAAAUUAGGGUUUGGACGUACGUGGCCUUGUAAAAUUGCUUACUUAGUAGAGUUGCAAUGAAAACAAUGUAUCUGUGAAUUUCUCAUGAAUGUCUCGAAGAGGAGGGAGGGAUGGCGGUGCCCACUCCUUAGGGCAAUUCCAAUUUGAAAAAUCCAAGGAGCUGAUAUCCAUCUUGGCUCAACGGGCAAAUGCAUUCCAUUGCUAUUAUAUAUAAUUAGGUAUCUCAUAUCCAGCGUAACCACGCAUUUAAUUCAAAUCAUAUAACUCUUUAGUUAUGAUAAUAAGUAUUUAUUAACAAGCACUGUAAGAUCAGAUUGUGAAAGGAAAAUCUAAUUGUUGAAUCAAAUUGAGAAAAGAAAAUUGCUUGUGAUGCAUCAAUCUUGCCGAGUCACUAGUUUAACCAUCAUUAUCUCUAUGGAUUAGACAGUGUUCCAGCCCGUCCCAAUCGUACGAGUCUCUUUUGUGGGCCUUUACAUUAGUCACCUACGGAUGCGAGGAUCGCUCAUUCAUAACAUACAUGAACUCGCGUCCACACCGACGUCGCAAUAUCAACACCAGCACUUUCGCACAGUUUAACAAGACUUCUUUUGAACCAGACAUUAUUCCAGCACCCGCCAAUCUGGAGCUCUCCAACAAUUCAGCAAGAACACGACACGACUCAGUGGUGGGAUUUCCCGGAACUCUUGUCGCGGUGGUGAAUGCGAUCUUGUGGAUGCCUCGAGGUCGAGGUCAAUGACGAAGACGAGUUGGCAUCGCCCAAAUCGAGGAAGGGCAAAAGCCCAGAUUGGGUCCCAUCAAUCUCCGCGUCGAUAUCUCCCUCGAUCGUCAACCCUUCCAUCCUCGCCGCUAUUGAGUGCCCCCUCUACUUCCCACAUCCGCUACUUCUGCCCAACACGCGCACGCUCACAAAGAAAAACAAAGAAGAGAACUGUAAAACUAGACUUUGCUUACGGCUUCAAUGGGGAUGUGAAGUUCCUCCUAAUUUCUAGCACCUGGAUUGGAAAAGAACCAGAGAAUGGCCGCACACACAAGCAAUGCGAGAGGUGUUACGUGGACGGCGUUCUCGGCAAGCUUGUAAGUGGGCAGCUCUUUGCCCUGGAACGAUCCCAUCCUCAGGAUCGUCGACGCCAUCGGCAGCACAUGCAUGUAGUCAUCUUACGUCACUCUGUUCCAGCUCGAUGUCAAAAUGAAAAGCUAUAAACUGUGUGGAUGUGGAGGUGAAACCGCGGGAGCGCAAAGCCAGUGGGGGAGAGGAAGGAAGGUGGCCGAGGGAGUUUAACUGAUGAAAUGGUUGUUCCAAGGUUAGGGAAGCUUGGUUGCCUUCUCGCUCGUUGCGAGGUUGUCCUGAUCUCUGGCCCGUACGUAAAAGCUGGUUAGAUCCAACCUAUGACUUUGUCUUGGCAUCGCAUGUUGGAUCUUCUACUUGCUCAUUUACACGUGUUUCUUUUCUCUACUCCCCUCUAUAUAUGAAAGAAGAUGGAGAUCUGCAGAUGGUGAGAACUGAAGAAGGAACAGUUUUAUUUCUAUUCACUUCAAAUUAAUGAAUCUGUACAAUUCUUGUUGUAAAUAUAAUACAAGUUGUGAGAAAGAUAAAGGAAAUAAAUGAUUCUACGAUCAAUCUAUGCCUAGAUCUAAUCUUAAUUGAUUAUGUACACAAUUCUAAUCUUCCAAUCAAAUCAAUAAUCAAUUCGGAUCCUUGAUUGUGCAAUCCGGGAUUCCGCAUAUCUUCCAAUACUCCCCCUCAAGCUGGUAGUCUGUAUAUGUCUAAGACACCUAGCUUGCUCAACAGAUAUGCGUGUUGUCUUUGACAUAGAGGCUUGGUAAAGAUAUCUGCUGGCUGCUCCAUUGUCCCAAUUCCUCUUGUCUCAAUCACGCCCUCUUGUAUCUUUUCUCGAGUGAAAUGACAAUCGACUUCAAUGUGCUUGGUUCUCUCAUGUACUAUAGGAUUCGCUGCAAGUUUUAGAGCUGCAUCGUUAUCACAAUAAAGCCUGGUUGGUCCUUGCACUUCUAUCCCAAGAUCCUUAAGUAAACCUCGCAUCCACACUAUUUGACAUGUGAUCUUAGUCAUAGCUCGAUACUCUGCCUCAGCUGAAGAUAAAGACACAGUGGGUUGCUUCUUGGUCUUCCAUGAAAGAAGUGAUUCCCCAAAUUCAAUGCAAUAUCCUGUGACUGAUCUUCGACUUAUAGGACAUGUUGCAUAAUCUGCAUCACAGUAUGCCGUCAUCUUCAUGUCACAUUUCUUUGACAGAAGUAUCCCAAGUCCUGGACAUUUCUUUAAAUAUUUCACAAUCUUUAAAGCUGCAUCGAAAUAGGACUGUUUUGGGCUAUGCAUGAACUGGCUCAAUGUUUGUACUGCAUAAGAGAUGUCCGGCCUUGUCAUUGUCAGAUAUAUAAGUUUCCCAACAAGCCUUUGAUAUCUAGAUGGAUCUUUGAGUAUGGGGUCGUCAUCUUUGGAUAUACCUUCAUCAUAAGCUACAGAGGUCAAUUUAGUGUUCUGCUCGAUGGGAAUUGCUGCUGGUUUACAUCCCGAUAGCCCUGCUUCUGAUAUAAUCUCCAAUAUGAACUUUCGUUGACUGAGAGAGAUUCCUAAAUCAGAUCGAGCAAUUUCGAUUCCAAGGAAAUAUUUAGGUGCUCCUAAGUCCUUAAUAUGAAAGGUAGCAUGCAAGUAUUCCUUGAAUCUUUCUAUGGCAGCCUUAUCAUUUCCCAUAAGAAGAAUAUCAUCGACAUAUAUCAUCAAAAAGAUAGAUGACAUACCUCUGUUCCUUGUGAACAAUGCAUAGUCAUGCUUUGAUUGUUGGAAUUCUACUUUUGUAAGGGCAUUUGCAAAUUUUGCAUACCAUUGUCUGGAUGCUUGCUUCAACCCAUAAAGGGAUUUGCGGAGACGACACACUUUAUUCUCCCCCUGUCUCCGUAAACCUUGAGGAACAUCCAUAUAUAUAUAUAUAUAUAUAUAUAUAUCUCUUCAUCUAAAUCGCCAUGGAGAAAGGCAUUAUGCACGUCCAUUUGAUGUAGACUCCAAUCAUUGAUGGCGGCGACGGUCAAAAAGGAGCGGACUGUGACAUUCUUGGCAACUGGGGAAAAUGUCUCAUGGUAGUCAAAACCUUCUCGCUGAGUAAAUCCCUUGGCUACCAAGCGUGCCUUGUACCGUUCAAUUGAUCCAUCUGCACGAUAUUUAAUCUUGUAGACCCAUUUGCACCCAAUUGGUUUCCGAUUAGGUGGCAAUGAGACAAGAUCCCAUGUGUGGUUGUCAUUCAGUGCCUGUAACUCUGCUGCCAUGGCUUGCUGCCAUCUAGGAUCAACAGCUGCCUUAUCAUAACUAGAUGGUUCCUGUUCUUCUGAUAGGCGACUAAUGCAACAUCUAUGUUCCUCUGAUAGUCUAUGAAAGGAAACAUAAGAGGAGACAGGAUAUUGAAUACCUGGAGAGUUGAGAGUGGCACAGAUAUAGUCUUUGGUCCACGUCGGAGGUCGAGUGACCCGACGAGAGCGUCUUGGAUGAUCUUCAUCAGAAGUGGGAAUUGUUUCAUUGGAGGUGAAUGGCGAUACAUCAUGGCCGACUUCUUCCUCAAUAUUGCAGGCAUCUUCAGCGCCCUCUUUUGUCAGGUUUGCUGAUGAUUGUGGAUUCUCCACUAGAGAUGGUAUCCUCCCUGGAAUGAUUGCAGGGGUGUAAGAUGGAUUUCUUGAUUGAACCAUUGGUAUGUAACCAUGGUCUGGAGAGAGUGCGUCGUCAUAUGAGAGACGAUGAGGUUUGGUACUGAUGUCGACAUUCUCAUUUGGUGACCCCAUGUUGGAAAAAGGGAAUAUGUCUUCAUGGAAAGAUACAUCACGGCUUAUAAGAAAUUCCUUUGUUGAUAUAUCAAGAACUUGAUAGCCCUUCUGCAGAUUAGGAUAACCCAUGAAAAUUCACUUUCGAGCACGUGGGCUCAACUUGUCUCGAGAGCCCAAUGUUGUAGCAUAGCAAAGACAACCGAAGAUUUUAAGAUGUUGUAAAUCUGGUUUUCUUCCAUAGAGUAGCUCGAAUGGUGUUCGUCCAUUGAGUAUCUUGGUGGGCAUACGGUUGAUCAAAUAGGCUGUUGUGAUGACACAAUUUCCCCAAUAAUCAUCUGGUACUGAAGCUUGAAACUUCAAGGCACAUGCAACUUCCAAAAGGUGCCGAUGCUUGCGCUCAACCACUCCAUUCUGUUGUGGUGUAUAAGUGCAUGAACUCUCAUGCUGGAUGCCAUGAGAUGAGAAAAAUAUGGAGCAAUUGUGACUGAAAAAUUCUGCUCCAUUAUCAGUUCGAAUUCUCUAGAUUGAUUUCCCAAACUGAUUUUUGGAUAAGGCAAUAAAUGUCUUUAAAUAAGAGUAAGCCUGAUCCUUGAUUGCAUCAAGAAAAUCCAUGUCGCACAAGAAUAAUCGUCUACUAUUGUGAGGAAAUAACGUGAUUCAUCAUAAUUAACCUUAUGAUAAGGUCCCCAUAUAUCAACAUGUAUCAGGGAAAAAAAUUUGCUAGCACGAGAAUUACUAGAUGGAAAAGGGGAACGAGACUGCUUUGCUAGUGGACAAAUGGGACAUUUAGGAUAAGGAAAGGUAGCACUGUGGCCUAAUCUCAUAUGCAUAAGAGAAUUUUUAUCAUUCAAGCUCAAAUUACACAAGGAGGAUUUAUUCAAUGGAAAGCUGGAUAAAUCAAAAUUACUUGGGAGUCUUGACCAAAAAAAUAGUCCUUCUGAAAUACUACCCCAGCCCAUCAAUCUGCCAGUCGAAAGGGCCUGAAAUAAACAGGUAUCAGCAUUGAAUAUUACUCGACAUGAAUUCUCUUAGCAAACUUUUGACACGGAAAUAAGAUUGAACUGGAAUUCUGGGACAUAGAUGACAUUUUUGAGAAUAAUUUGAGAACUGAGAUUAACCGUUCCUGUCACAUUAAUAUGACUAAUAUUUCCAUUAGGCAAUUGUGCGGAAAUGGGAAAAUUCAGUUCCUCAUUUAUUCUUGAGAAAAGACUCUUGUCACAUAUAAUAUGAUCACUUGCCCCUGAGUCAAUAAUCCAUGCUUUUCUUGAUAUAGAGUUAAUCAAGCUAUGUGUGAUACCUGAAAAACGGCCUCCCUUGUCAGAAACAUCCAAUUUCUGCAGAGCUUGCAUCAGUUGCUGGUAUUGUCCAUGGGUAAUGGUAUGAUUAGAAUUUGGGCCGGAAGAUCCUUUUUCCUUUUUCCGCUGGUUUCCCAUGCAGCUUCCAACAACUGUCAAUUGAGUGAUUAGAACGCUUGCAAUACUCACAAAAUAAUCUACCCUUCCCUUUAAAAUUUUGCCCGAAAUUUCUGGAUGACGUGGCAAAAAUCUUUCCAUCGGAUCCUUUUGUCGCGAGUUCAUCUGGGCCGUCUGAUCCUUUUAAAAGAUCGAUCUCCUGUGAGCCGUCGGCUAUGCGCGCUCGAUCAAAGCCGUCGGAUGUGCGCGCUCAAUCAGAGCCGCUCAUCCCUUCUGAUUUAUAGGCUCGUGACCCUUCUCCAUGGAACCCUAGUACGCCACGUCUCUUCUCUGGUAGGGUUUUGUGGGUUCCAUCUCUUCGCUCCUCGUGGACUGCAAGAGCGAUACUCUCGCCACUCUUCGCGUUCUCUGGUGAUGCGAAUCGCUGGCUUUCCUCUUGUACUGCCAGUUGAUAAAUUCGCCCGAUUGAUGGCAUGGGAUCCAUAGCCAAGAUCUGCAAGCGAAAGGUAAGAAAGUUGUCAUUUAAAAUGAGCAAAAAACGGGUUGCUUUCUCCCUAUCUUUGAUGGAUUUGUACUGUCGAAGUGUGGAUUCGGGGCCCUCGAGUUUUUCUUCUACUGCUUCGAGGCUGUUUCAUAACGACGAUAGCUUGUUGAAGCAAGCCGUGACCGUCGAAUUCCCCUGUUUUAAAUCACUGAGUUCCUGCAUGAAGGUGAAUAUUUUUGCUUGAUCCAACCUCCCGUACAUCUCCUUGAUGUUAUCCCACGUCCCUUUGGCGUCUUCUGUCGGUGGGAGUCCGGCCGAGACCUUUAUGGAGAGACAAUUGCCGAUCCAAGUCUGGACCAAGCGGUUGCUCUUCCUCCAGAGCCGGGCUAGACGCUCGUCGGGGGGAAUCGGGACGGUUCCGUCGAGAAAUCCAUCCUUGUCCUUUGUCGCUAGGGCACGCCGGAAUUCUUGCGACCACUUGGGGUAAGUCUCUAGCCCGGUCAGUUGUUGACUGAUUAGUCGCAGCUUUGGCCCGUCCGCUGUGGAAACGAACAAGGGAUCACCGGGUUCUGGCCGUCCGGCGAAGGCCGCUGCUGGAAACGGCAGAAAACCGGGCGUAUGGUUCGGGUAGGGAUUCGUCCCUUGACCCGAUUCAUUCGACCCGAAUGAAAAAUCCGCAUUCAAAAACCCCGGGUAGGGAUUCGUACCCAUACUCGGUUCACUCGACCCGUGCAUCCGCUCCACUCCGUCGGUCGGGUUUGCCCCUUCUGUGGCUGGCGGACCCCCGUCGGUUUGGACGUGGCUUUGGUGGCCCACGUACCCAGGCGAUGAAGAGUUUGGGCUUGACCCAACAUAAAUUGGAUAUGGAAUCCAUUGGAAAGGCUGGCCCGUCAUGGGCUACCCCAUAGUAAACUGAGCCUGUGUGGGCCGCCAUUGCACGAGCUGAGUUGGAAAUAACACUUGCUCUGUUGUUUGAGUUGUAACAAGUGAAGUCGAUAUCUGAGGAGUGAUUCCAGCAGUGGGAAUGAUCUCUCCAGUAGAUUGGUUUCUGGUGAUGGAUGCUUCAUCUUGCAGAUUCACCAUGGUAAGUAAAAUUUUUUGAGCGUGACACUAUGCCUGAAAAAGAAAUCUUCUUUGCAGGUCAGAACUUCAGGAUCAGAAAGUCACGGAAAGGAGAGGAAUUUUAGCGGAAGCGAAAGCUAGGUUCAGAGACUCGGCGGCUCUGAUACCAUGAAAGAAGAUGGAGAUCUGCAGAUGGCGAGGACUGAAGAAGGAACAGUUUUCUUUCUAUUCACUUCAAAUUAAUGAAUCUGUACAAUUCUUGUUGUAAAUAUAAUACAAGUUGUGAGAAAGAUAAAGGAAAUAAAUGAUUCUACGAUCAAUCUAUGCCUAGAUCUAAUCUUAAUUGAUUAUGUACACAAUUCUAAUCUUCCAAUCAAAUCAAUAAUCAAUUCGGAUCCUUGAUUGUGCAAUCCGGGAUUCCGCAUAUCUUCCAACAGUAUAAUGGCUGACAUGCCAAGGAUUUCAAUCAACCAACUCCAAGCACACGUGUAUCUGUUAAAGCUUCUUCUUGUUGACACGCUAUCAAUGGAGUUCAUAGAAUUUUCACUGAAAAAUACCUGUUUUAAAAACUAAAAUUUGUAUGCAACUCAUUUUGUUGACAUGAUUGUCGGCAGAUGGUUGUUCUAGUAUUUUCUAAAAUCACAUUUUAAAACCGAUGAUUCCCGAUCUUCUUCUCUGUGUUGACAUGAUUCGAUGUUGUCAUGUUCUCAUAUAAGAUUGGAUGGAGCUUUUAUCUUGGACCUGAGCAGGUCCUUAAACUACUCCAGCCAUCAGGUAGGCUGCCCCCCUUCGAGGGGGAAGUGGGUCCCUGGAUGGGGCUUUUAUUUUCAGGGUUUCUCCCGCAAGAAACCCAAGGAACAAGCCUAGGGAGGACAAUGAAGACAACCCCAGGGGAAACGAAGCCCCUGGGGGGUGGGCCAAGCUUCCCCUUGAGCCCAAGUUUGGAAAGAGUUAAAUUGGACCUGAGCAGGUCCUUAAACUACUCCAGCCAUCAGGCAGGCUGUCCCCCUCCAGGGGGGAAGUGGGUCCCUAAAUGGGGCUUUUAUCUUCGAGGUUUCCCCUGCAAAAAAUCCAAGGAACAAGCCCAAGGAGGGCAAUGAAGACAACCCCAGGGGAAACGAAGCCCCUGGGGGGUGGGCCGAGCUUCUCCCUGAGCUCAAGUUAUUGGACCUGAGCAAGUCCUUAAACGGCUCCACUCUGAAUCGGACAUCCCAAAGUGUCCAGUUAGCCCCAAAAAAAUGAGUUUAAUUGGGAUUACGGGAUAACGUCCCUAUUGGGCUUCCCCGCCAACCCCUCCAAAGGGAGGGGAGCCCACCUUGGAUCCCUAUGAAGCCCUUCUCCUAAUAUACUAAGUUGGGUUCAGGGAAAUGAAAAGACCCGGAUAGCCCCCCAAUCACACGUCGUGGAUAUUAUUUACAUUGAUGCAUCUAAAUUAUGACAUCAAAAGACACCAUCUUCUAUUACUUUAAGAAGGAUAUACUUUGGGCCACAAUAAAAAAGUAUUAUUGUUCUUUUGGCCAAAUAAUUACUAUCAUCGUUAAUGUUGAAAAGGCAAAUUCCAAAUGGCUCUGUCUGGUGUAAGGCAGCUCUUUUAUCUAUUUUUCAUAGCGAAAGAUUGUCGUGACAUACUCCAAGCUAAGCUUUCAAGUGAACAUGGAUUAAUUCUUACACCACUUCUUUCGGUGCAAAAAAAAUUGAAAUUUAUACACAAUUCGUACGCGAGAAAGUUUUAAAGGAAGAGGUAACAUGUGAAAUGGCAACGAUUUGUGUUGAUUUUCUUUACCGUUUGCGAAUGCGUUAUAUAUACGGAAUCUGGGGCUACAAAAACUAACUGACUAGACACAGAAUAAAAGAAACAGGAAGAAAAUUCAAGCAUACUUUGAUCUCGGGAUCUUUGUGAUAGGUCGGGAUCUAGCAACUAUGGAUUGAUCUUGAGAGUAUUGAUGAAGCUGCUGCCCUCUCCUGAGUUAUUGGUGGCUAAAAAGUUCAGAAAAUCCCUUAAACAACUUCCCCUGUACUUUUUCCCAUGCGCACCCACGAGUUCCUUGGCGGGUUCCAUCGUCUCGUCCAUGCCGAGACUAUGCAAGCUAGCAAUAGAAAUUCGGGUCCUCUCAGAAUUGAGGACCGCUCUAUGGACGACGCUUUUGUACAGGCCGUUGCUCAGGACCUCGAGAUGGACCCCCACAUGGACUUGUAAGGCGCCAGGGGUUUUAGGGAUCGACUUCCAGGUGCAGUCAUCGGGGUCCAUGAUCUGAAGUCCUGGGGAGCUCUGGAGAACGAUGGUCAAGCAAGUGUGGUCAGAGUGGGGUGGUAGUCCUAGCGCCAUUUCCGGAUUUGGGCACGGCGGGUAGCAGUGGACCGCCAUCAUUUGCAUCCCCGCUUCCAUUUUAGAGGUCAGAUACGAGGGUCCUAGUCCCAAGCCCUCCGUGAUGGCCUCCAUCAGCUCCACCGUCACUUUCCUCGUUUGGGCACUGAAUUUGCCCAUCUUCUCCCUUUUACAAUCAUGAGAAACGAUAUGAGAUGGAGAUACGCUUAGAGUCGCAGUCCAUUGACUAGACUCGAAGGCUCAAAUGCAGGGAAUGUUGCAGUCCACUAGUCUUGAUCGGGAUGUCCUAAAUGCCUUCAACUGUCCACUACCAGAUCAGGAACUGAUGAGGACAUGUCUAUAUGCAUUCAUUUUGACCACAAUCUAACUUUGGGUUCUAAUUCUAAGCACCUCAAUAUGUGGUUAUAUGAUGUCGAUAGGGCUAUCAUUUUAAAAAGUUUGACAAUGCUAAUUGGACCACUUAGGAUGCGUUUGGCAACUUGCCAAAUAAUGAAAAUUUCUCAGUAAUAGUUUUGAAAUAAAAAUCCGUUUGGUAAAUUUUUUAUUUCCGAAAACAAAUUUGUUCCUGAAAAUAAAUUUAGAGUAAAAUUGAAAAAUAAAAAACAGUUGAUUCUUUGUUUCCGGGAAUAAUUUCAUAAUCAAACCAACCCAUUUUUUCUCUUUUCUAUUCUUUUCUUCUUGUUCUUCUUCCACUGUCGCCGCCGUCAUCCACUGCUACCAGUGACCAGUUGGGUGAGGUCCUACGACCUUGCCGGAGGCUUGCCCAGCCACCACCAAGCCAGACGAGGCUUGCUCACAAGCGAUGGCCAAGCCCAACCAAGCCAUGGCUAGGCAAGGCCACGCGCCCAACCAAGGCUCGGCCAACGAGGCAUAGCCUCACCAAGGGCCGUGAUACUCCGGCGAGGUCACUGGUGAGAGCUCGAAGAAGAAGAGAAAGAAAAGAAAAAAGAAAUAAAAUAAAAUUAUAAAAUUAUUUUAAAAAUUUUAAAAAAAUGAUUUGGAGAAGAAAUUUUGAGGAUAAUACCACAUACAAUUCUAUUUUAAUAAUAUAAAAUUUUGGACAGUUAUCAAAUACCUUAAAAUAUUUAAAAAAUUUUCUCAAGAACAAAAUAAAAAUAUCAUUUUUAAUCAGAAAUUAUUCUUAAGAACAUAAUUAUUACUAAUAAGGCUGCAUUUGUUUUGAUUUCUUUUUUCUGUUUUUAAACAGUUUUUUUGUUUUUUUGUUCCCGGGAACAAAAACUCGUUUGUUUACGUUUUUGUUCUAAAAUUAUUUUUUUUUCUCAGAAACACAUUUGGAACAGAAACAAGAAACAAAAAAAAGUUGUUUCUUGUUUCUGGAACAAAAUUUAGAAACACUUUCCAUUUUCUUCUUUAUUUUUUCUUCUUCUUUUUUCUUUGACCGAUUGCCAGCCGCUGGGUGAGCUCGGCCUCGCCGACCAAGGCGAGGCUGACUUCGCACCGGGCGGCAGCUCGCCCAGAUCUGGUAAGGCCGAGCUCACCCAACGGCCGGCAAGGCGUCGCCUAACGGUGGCCCGACGAAGCCGAGCCUCGCCGGCCGCUAGGCGAGUUCGACCUCGCCGGAUCUAGGCAAGCUCGAGCUCACCCAGCCAAGGCGAGGCUGCCGGCCCUCGUCGACCAGUCGUCGGCCAUAGCCGAGGCCGGCGAUCGGCCAAAAGAAAAAAAAAGAAAAAAGAAAAAAAGGAAAAAUAAAUAAGAAAAUAGAAAAGAAAAAAAAAUAUUUAAAAAAAAAAUUAUACAAAUUUACCAAACGUGUUUCUAUUCAUUUUUUAUUCCCGGAACAAGUUUACCAAACGCAUUUUUUUGUUCAAAAACUGUUCCCCGAAACAGAAAUAUUUUUUUCUAUUUCUGUUUUCUGAAAUAAUUUUUAAACAGAAAUGUUACUAAACGCGUCCUAAAUUUCCUCGUUACCCUGCUUUGCUUCAACUCUGACGUUAUGUUAUAUGGUUGGCUUUAAGAUUGCGGCUGCAAGCGUGAGUGCGGGCAUGGUUUAAGGAUUCAGUGAAUUAUGUGACGCAAGCGGGCAUGGUUUAAGGAUUCAGUGAAUUAUGUCGGUUCGCAGGAGCAAGGACAAAACACGAAUACCAAAGGAGUCGUGCGUUUCUACAUUCAACAUAAACAAGUGACGUGUCCUUCUAGUGUGUGCUCGGUUCAAAGGUAUGACCCCGGAGAAAAUAUUGGGUACGUCUUAUGCUCCAGCGUGUCAAACAAGAAGGCGGUCGUAGCGCGACACGUGUCUCGUGGGACCCACGAUUUCAGGCGCCAUUUUGAAAAUGUUUCUGUACUGUAGCUAGGGUUUUCAGUUCUUUCUUUGCGUCUCUCUCUACACUCGCUCUCUCUCCCCGAACGAACUCCUGACGAACUCUCUCUCUGUGCCCUCGCUUUUUCCGACCGGCGAACCACUGCGAGCAACCGACAAACCAGGAUACCGGCGAGACGACCGCGAGCGACCGACCGGCGUGCGACCUUCCUCUCUGCCCUCCCUCUUUCCGGCCGGCAAACCACUGCGACCAACCGACGAACGAGGAGGAUACCGGCGAGACGACUGCGAGCAACUGACCGGCGUGCAACCUCCCUCUCUCUGCCCUCCCUCGCUUUUUCCGAUCGGCGAACCACCGCGCCACCCCUCCGGCUCCGGAUCUGGCCCCGACUCGUCCGUCCCCUGCUCUUCUCUGUCUGCCCUCCCUCUCUUCGCGGUGAACCACCGCGUGAUCGGCGAACCACCGCGCCCCCCCCUCCAGCUCCAAAUCCGACACCGACUUGUCUUGUACGCUGGAACGUUGGUGCCCGACCGCCUCACACCCGCCGGCCUGUUGAUCUCCAGUUCCGCUCGCAUCACGAUCCCGCUCUUCUCUGUCUGCCCUCCCUCUCUUCGCGGCGAACCACCGCGUGACCGGCAAACUACCGCGCCCCCCCUCCAGCUCCAGAUCCGACACCGGCUUGUCUUGUACGCUGGAACGUUGGUGCCCGACCGUCUCACACCCCCCAGCCUGUUGAUCUCCAGUUCCGCUCGCAUCAAGAUCCCGCCAGUGCUUUGGUUCAGGUAAAAGUCACAGGGGAAUACAGUGAUUUUGGUGGGAAGGAAUCAGUCAGAGGCGCAAUAAAAGAACCCGCGGCAGAGCUACAGUACAGGAAAAUUUUCAAAAUAGGCGCCUCUGAAAUCGUGGGUCCCACGAGACACGUGUCGCGCUGCGACCGCCUUCUUGUUUGACACGCUGGAGCAUAAGACGUACCCAAUAUUUUCUCUAUGACCCCGUUCAUUUUCAUACGCGACCAACACAUUCGUCAGCCCGAAGGUGAAAGGGAGUGUACCGAUAAUGAGGGGGAUUCUCUGGCCAAUGGCCCAGUGGAUGUGCAUAAUGCUUCAGGGUGGCUCUCCAGAACUGUGUCCUGUCGAUCCCGUCCUUCAAACUCGUCACGUAUCUCACCGGCUCGCGCACGUCGUUCGACACGUACUUCAUCUUCUCUUCAGUUGGCAAGUCGAAGAAGCUGGAUACUGCAUGAAGGGCUUCAUCCAUCACGGUUUGGCAAAUUCCAUGGUUCACAAUCUGUUCCAGCAGGAAGCAUACGUCUCAAUCAAGGUAAUUCGAUGGUCAGGACAGUGGAAAAGCAAAUAUUAGUAAGUAUGGAACAAAAUCGUAAUGCGACAUCAAUGGUGCAUACUCACACACGUCAUGCUUACCUGGAAGAAGCCGAAGCGAUGACAAGCGUUUGCAAUGUCCUUGAUGACCGCGGACCGUCGUGCAGGAUCCUUCCAUAGACCACCUAAAUCAAUGAGAGGCACAUCGCCCAUAUCUGGAAAUGGUAAACGUCUGGCACGUAUUCAAGACCCUGCUCUUGAGCCGACUCGCCGGUCUUCCACGCACUCGAGCUCUCACUCUCGGUGGGUCUCUAACCUCAGAUCAGCCAAUCCUUCAAAACCAAACCUCCGACCCUCCCAAAAAAGCAAAGGGAAAAAAGGUUUACCCAAAAAAUUCAAUUUCGGACUCACCUCGCUUUGGAUAGCUGCGUCGGUUUCGGCGAGCUGCAAAAGAGAGGCGAUGGUGGCGAGUCUGGGUCUAGCGACAAGGAGACGAGAGGCGACAACAAGCUGGGUUGCGUUCCUGCGGCGCGCCAACAAGAGGCGAACCGGCUGGCAACGAUGGUGGCGACCGGAGAGGGUGCGGCGGAUCAAGGAUUGCUGGGCGCAAGCUUGCUGCGUAUAGAGGGUUCCUGCGAAUCGCAGGCUUUGAUUGAGGGAGAGAAAGGCAGGAUCGCAGGAGCUCGAGAAGAGAGAGACCGAGAGAGAGAAUCGCAGGCUGCGAUUGAGAGAAAGAGGGGCAGAAUCGCACAAGCUCGAAGAGAGAGAGAGAGACUGAGAGAGAGAUCAGUUUUUUCCUUUUUUAACAAUAUCCACAAACCGGUUCCAAAACCGGUCCGGUUCCCCGUUGGCUUAUCACUAGUCCCCAUGGUAAUGAAUCUAAUGAUGCAAGAAAGAGGAACAACGCCGGCGAAGCCAUGUUGAGGGGCUCCCCACCCCCAUCAACUCGAUUAUGUGAAAAUCUGUGGGCCAGUGAAGGACUAAAAAGAGACUGCUAAAAGAGAUUCUAGUCGGAGGAAGAUAAAUUAGUGAGACAGCCUACUAUUAUGAUGGAGGAAAGUUCGUGAUUUCCUAAGUGGUGUUGAAAUCAUAUCGUCUUAGUGUGUUGCUAUCGUGCGACGCUCCCGAAUGGUUGAACGGAACGUGGUGUGCGGCGGAUAGAACUGAUCGUAUUUCUUGUAAGGUCGGGCGGGUAUUUCAUUAAUCUUGGCGGUUGCUGGGUUAUAGAUCUUAGGCAAUAAUUUAUGGAAGCCCAGGCUGUCCGCCCGGUGAAUAUUCACCACCCACCCCAAGUCCCGAAGUUUGUCUUCCAAAGCACGAGAGACGACAGCGAACUUGUCCCUACAUCUGUGCGGAGGACAUUGGCUACUGGCUAUGGCGGGGGACAAGCGACUGUCUUUGUUUGCUGCAAGUGUCCUCGUCAUUCAUUCAUUCCUCAAUUCGCAAAAAAAAAAAAACAGGACCCGUGUUACAGAAAUUGGUUCGGUUCACUUAAAUUAUCAUCGGUACAGUUCCCACAUUUCGUCCUAGUGUCCUAUGUUAUCUCAUGCGUAAUAGACGACAAAUGAGCUCUCUUUCCCUCCCCAAACUUCAUGGCAGUUCCCAGUGCGGGACAGGAGACGUGUUUUCGCUCCGCAGAUCACCCAGAACAAUCGGUCGAGUUUCCCAAGUUCUCAACCGUAAAGACACGUAGGUCCGCUGCUCCACAUUCCGUUGUCUGCUUACAAACGACAAUGGACCUAGCUUUGCGAUAAGCCCACCUAGCGUAGCGUCCUGCCACUUUCCUGUGUCCAAGUUUCAACACCUAAGAAAUAGACUUGUUACGUGCUUCGUCCUUUCCCUGCACAUAUGAAUGCAGAGAGUAAUCGAGGUUUACUCUAUCAUCAUCAACAUCAUCAUCCUCCUCGCCGCCGUAGUCCAUUGGCGAGCGAUGUAGAGGGUCGAACCAUCCGGGUGAAGAAGGCAUUGGAAGAAGUGCUGGCAGUGGCAUUACGCUGGUCCGCGCGUCAUCAACAAGGAGAGCUCAACUCCGAGCAUCAACCUAAAAGUUGAAUAUGUUGAUACCUCACUCAGGGGCGGCAAGGGAGACCCUCGCUUGAGGGUGGAGAGGGCGGCCCUCUCAAUUUGCGUCGAUUAUGUAAAGACGAGUAUGAAAUUACGCUAAGCUUGACGUAUAUAAAUAGAUUUAUGUUCCUUUGAAAAAUAGAUAAAAAUAGACCAAUUACCAAAGAGGCGAUAAAUAGAGGAGGUUCUUUGAGAAAAUGCCUUCGGGUUUGACCUGUUUCUAACUUCAUUUCUAAACUGAGGAUCGGGAAGAAACAAAUAAAGAAAGUGUUUCAUCAGAAUUUGCUGAUAAAAUACCUUGCACUGAAAGUUGUUCUUUGAUUUUUAUUAAAGGAAAUAGGUUUCAUGGCAGAAAUAUUACAGUUACGUUCAAGUUAAUUUUAUUCUUCUCACACACAUUAUCGGACUUUCGUUGCCCCAUAAACCUUCUUUAAUUGGCAUCCUUGCCGACCAACUCCAUCACGACAAUCAUGCACCAGAUGCUAUAGUGUAUCUAUAGUUGGUCCAUUGUCAUCGAUGUAUAUCAAUAUUAACUAUCGCUCUUAUGGUCAUCAUCGACAAAUGUUCGCAUAUCCUGCGUUGAUAGUAACCCACCCUCAAAUCACAUGCUUACUCACGCCGAGGACCUCGCUAAUUUAUUGUGCAAAUAGAAGGAAACACUUGACAUGAGACAUUCGAGGAUCAAAGAGACGUUAGCUCUCAUCUCCUUCCCUUCUAUGCAUUGUAAUUUCCUUCUCCAUGGCGACUUGAGAAGAUCAGUCACUGCGACUGCUAGGACGUGAUAUCGCAGAAGACACCUAUUUGAUUUUCUUCCAACCAGUUACCGGGAUGCUAAAUUUUAAGAAAAAGUAGUCAUCUUUCAAGGACUGGACGAAUCCUCCUCAUCCCAGAAAGUAGCCAUUCCCCAUAGCUCCCUCCUAUACAAGGGGUUACUCAGCCAUUCAAAACAAAAGUACACUCAAUAUCUCGGUAGUGACGUAAUCCACAGCGAGUGCUCUCGAGGUAAUGGAUGUGCAUCAACGGACUAAUUCUCAUUUGGUGGCCAUAGUUUCUUAGUGGAUUUCGGGAUGCGACAACUUUGGAACAAUGGAUACAAGAGACUGCGCACAUGAACGAAGCUAGUAAAAUUCCUCUUCACAUAUUAGUUUUGCAGUUCCGCUAUUGAACUCUGAAAGGUAACAAGGAGACUGUACUAUAUCAAAGCUAAACCAUACCAGAGCAGGUGCAAUAAAAAGUAAGAAACAUGUAAAAAAGAGCAUCCAUAUACUUAUAGACGAGGGUUAAAAUUCCUCACGCAACAAACUAGAUCCAUCCUCUUAAGCAGUCAACUGCAUAGACACUUAUUUAACAUAAACAGCACCCCAACCGCAUGACCAUGACAACUCCAAUCCUGACAUCAAUACCAAUUUCUUUCAGCCAUAGCAACGGAUAGGAUCAUUGCAACCUUUAGCAGCAGAUUGUUUUAAACCAAAACGACCUCCUUUAGCGAGAUACUGCUGGUGGUACUCUUCUGCACGGUAGAACUUCUUGGCGGGCAGAAUUUCUGUGACAAUCUUUCUGUUGAGGAGAUUCUGCUGCUGCUCCAAGGAUUCUCUAGCUGCUUUCUCCUGUUCUGGUGUAUAGUAAUAGAUUCCUGACCUGUACUGGGUGCCCACAUCAUUCCCCUGUUCAAUUCGUCGUCAACCCAUUAGAAUCUGGGGGUUACACUUGCCAUAUAUGCAAAAUAGCCAAAAUAAAUGGUUCUAACCAGUUCAUUAGCAAUUUGUGCCCAACACUCCUCAAUGACAUAGCAUGAAAUGGAGCACUACGGCACUAAUACCAUGUGGAUUCAUUUUUAUGCACAAUCUAUAAUAAAGAAGGGAGAAGUGGGUAAGCAGACCCACACUACAGGUCGGAGAAUACAUGGCCAAAAGCAAAGGCGUGCAGCCUUUAGAAGGGAAAAAACUUACAGAGAUUAUUUGAACAUCAAUGAAUGACGGUGCAAUUAACAAAAGAUCAAUAAAAAUAUCAAUAAAAUCAACAAGAAAAAACUGACAAAGACAAGCAGAACUUAGCACUAACUAAUUAUCAAACUCCUCCUCAUCCUUCAGACUAGUUUUAAAACAUCAAACACCUUCAAGGUGGUUGCUUGCCACCAAACACCGACACAAUCAAAGAAUAAGCACUUCCUUAAGUGCUGUGAAUAUCAUGAUCCACUUCAUAGUUCAUACCCUGCGCAAGAGAGGGGGGAUAGUCUCAUAUGGACUCAUCUAAUCCAUUGUUGUUAAGCAAGAUAACUGUAGACAGACUCGACUAAGGAUAGAAUUUGAGGAAAGCAGAGAUCUAAUCACUCAUAGGACCUCCGGGGCCAGUUUGCCUUUCACGAAAAUCUUGUCACAAUGCUAACAUGCUCGCAAGCUUGCUGCCGGAAGAGUGCAAUAAAGGAAUUUAAGUUUUUAACAUUGCUUUGGCCAGAGGAGGAACCAUAGAAAGGCUAUAGUCUUCAAUCAAAGCAUAAACCAGACUUAUCGAAGGAGAAGCACAAAAUCUUGUAGCUAAACAGGAAUAUCGACACGGUCGAUGAAGAAAACCCAGACAACAGAGCCAUCAAGAACCACGAUCGCAAGCACAACAAAUUACAGCAUCACUGUAUCCUGUAUUCAGGAACUAGAAUGACUGCAGGUAUAUACGUCGCUAUUCCCCACUGAAGUGACGAAGCAGACGACAAGCACCCCGCAAACUCAGUCAUAUAUAGAUAGCGAGAAUUCAAUCACCCGACCAAACUCAUGAAUCAUAAACCCCAGAACCAGAAAUCGUUCCACCUAAUAAUUCCAUCUCAAUUACCAAACGAAACCUCAGCGAAGAGGACAAAAAAGUGAAAAAGAGAGGAAAUUGGUGGAAGCCCAACGAAAUUCACCUGACGAUUGAGGGUGGUGGGGUCGUGCCGAGCCCAGAAGACGUCGAGAAGAGACUCGAACCCGCACUCCUUGGGGUCGUACUGGACACGCACGACCUCCGAGUGGUUCGUCGUCGCGGUGCACACGUCCUCGUAGGUGGGAUUGUGCAGCAACCCCUGGGAGUAACCGACCUCGGUCUUGGACACUCCCGGCACCCUCUGGAGGGCCAAUUCGACGCCCCAGAAGCAGCCCGCCCCGAAUUGGGCGAACUGCUGGCCGGGCGCCGGGACGUCGUCGUCGGGGCCCUGGGCGAUCGAGGAGUCCAUGGCCGAGGGGUCGGGGGUCCUGGGCCCGAACCCGAGCUUGUUGAGGAUGUUCAUGGGGGACCUGUGGGAGGCGGCGAGGCGGGAGUUCCGGGGGAAGGCGGGCUUGGGGAGGGAGCGGGGGAGCUUGGAGAGAGAAAGGAAGGGGCUGAGGCGAGAGGGAGGGGCGGAGGGUUUAGAGAGAGAGGAGGAGAUGAGGAGCAGAGGGGAAGAGGAAGGAGAUGAAGCUGCAGAAGAUGAUGAUGAUGAUGAUGCUGCUACUGCUGCCGCCGCUCUGGAAAUGGAGGGCAGCAUUGUGGUGGUUAGCGGGGUGGCGUGUGGGGCUUGGUUUUUGCAAAAGGGAGGUUCCGGAUUGGAGAAAAUUGCUUUCUUCUUUCCUUGUUUUCCGCUUCCACAUUCCUACGAUUUUCUUUCCUAUUUUUAGGAAUCUUUUUUUUUUUUACAUUUCCUUUUUCUGGUUUUUCAUGAUUUAGUGAUUGGUUGCGGUGCAUCCUGCGAGCGUGUUGUAAUAUUACGAUUUGUUUUGAAAAUUUCAAGCAAAAGGAGAAAAUGAUUUAAUUUUAAGAAGAGGGUUUUGUUUCCUCGCUGACCUGGUUUCGUUUUAGUGGGGAGCGAUGCAUGAGUGGUCAACGAGGCUAGGAAUUAGAAAUUAAAGCCGAAAUCGCAUUCAAAGAUCGUAUGACCCUUGGGGAGCAAGGAAAGGAGAGAGGGGGAGAGAGAGCCGCAUGGCAUGGGGGAAUUUAUCAACACGUGACGUGGCCUACGCACGGACCAGCCAAUCGCCGCGCGUUGCCUGCAGCGCAAGAGAAAAGGUUGGUGGGAUUGGAAUCAGUGGCUGCCAUACGUCGUCCCAAGGUUUGUCGAGUAUCACCAGCGCAAAAACAAUCAGGGAGUCCGCUAGCCAGCCCAUCACAGAUAUUUUCUGAUGCUACAGUAGACUGGUCUUGGUAACUAAAGUAAAACAAACCGCAAGGUACAUAUCCAUGAAAAUGUUAGCCUAUGUUUCUGCUGCAUAGCAUCAUCAUCAUCAUAUGUUUUACAGACAAAUCUCCAGUGCUAGUGCUUCCAUGUCCAUCUGUCUCAAACACACAGUAGUCACUAGCCCAUCUGCCCGGUGAAUAUUUCACUCGUAGAUCCAAGGAUGAAGGCUGUUUUGCCAGUUCACAGUCCCGUCGGGGAACCACAGAGCUAUUUCCUUCUUAGCACUCUCCACAGAAUCGCUUCCAUGGAUCACAUUCCUGAGGUUUAACGGAAACACGUGAGGAACACUCGUAAAGAGAAGUCAACUGCAAAUACGCUGUUAGCCCUCGCUCCCAGCAGGUUAAAAUAGAAAGAGGAACGAAUGAUUUCGCUACAUCAGCCAGUUUACAGAGUUAAGCUUCUUGAAAAUGCACAAUCCCUGGUAAAGCAGAUGAGAAAUGAAUUCUACUUCAUCAGCACCUUACGUAUGAGUGCAGAUCUCUUCUCUCACAAACGUUAAGAAAUCUCAAAUGUAGAGAUGUCACUUGAUAAGAUCUAUAUUUGCAUUCGGGACCACAAGCAGAUUCAGAAAAACUAUCAUGGGACAACCAGAGUUCGAUUUAAAUAUGUCAUCCAUCCAAGUGAUAAAAAGAGAGUAAUGAUGCCCGUUGGCACAUUUGCAAAACUACAUCAAAGAAAUUUUUCUUUUUCUUUUUUUUCUUCCCUCUAGUAUAGGCCAAGUUAACAGCUGUAGUGUUGGGAAUUUCCAUUUUGGAAAAUGAUCUGCCUCAUCUGUUAACAAUUGCUCAAUCAUUCACUUGGGACCCAUCACACAGGGAAUGCAUAAAAAUUUCAAGGACCCACCAAAACCACCUUAUAACUGAACCUUUCAAAGUCUGUCAUUUGCAUUGACAUAGAAGAUACAAUGAAGAGCUCAGAAUGAAUUUGCACAAAGCAGACCAUGCAAACAGCUGGAUGAAAAAGGACAACCAAGCAUUAGUCCAUGUUGGAGAGACAUACCUUCCGAUCUCCACUGCAAAACUGCCACGGAGAGUACCAGGAUCCGAGGCCGAUGGGUUAGUAGCCCCUAUGAUCUUCCGACCUGUUGUGACAACAUUUUUACCUUCCCACACCAUAGCCACUACAGGACCGGAUAUUAUGUACUCGACUAAGCCCUCAAAAAAGGGUUUUGAGGAGAGGUCCUCAUAGUGUUUCUCAGCAAAAGGGCGCUCCACGCUAAUCAGCUUCAGUCCUAAAAUUCAUUAUUCGGUCUCUAAGCAUUAAAAUUGGGUUCAUAAAAAAUGAUGAAGAGAGUAGAUUAUAAUACUAAUAUCAGCCAUCACCUUUUAAAUAGAAACCCUUCUUCUCAAAUGUGCUGAUGAUCUCACUUACCUGUGCCAAGUAUAAGAUAUUACAAAACGAGCAGUCGUAGUGAAUAUCCUCUGCAUCAUUCUAAUCUCAAAUACAUUCUUCGCAUAAGUAGAAAAAAGUUGCGAGGCAAAUGAAAUACAUGCACUACCGGAAACCAAAACUAGAAAUCAUUCACCAAAUUCAAUGGGAUAUCAUAAAGGCCUAGAUGUGAUCGUUUAACAACCUUCAAUUCUGGGGCUUCACCGUUCCCACAUGAGUCUAAGCAACUUUGUAAAGGCAAUAGACCCAACAAAAGCAUGCGCACGCCUAGAAACCUCAUGAUGCUCACAUCUCGCCUCAGGAAUGGGAAGCAACAUCAAUAUCUCAACCUAUACUCAACUCAAAGGGUCCAAUCAUUCCCCAAGCCAAAAUCACUCUCUUGCAUGACAUAUAUAUAUAGCACAGCCUGCUCUCCGGUGCUGUACUAACUACAAGAUCUCAUUUUGCUUCCAAUUUGCGAACAGAUAUGGAACGACCAUGGUAUCAGCACAGAAACUUAGCUGGGUUCGAUAGGGCUCAAAUUGAUAGAAAGAGGUAAAGUAGAACGAACCAAGCCUCGCUGAACACCGUCGGGUUUGAUCAUGAUGAAAGUCUGCUCCAUCUUCGCUCUUCACUGAACCAAACCCACCGAGACAGCGUGCACAAGAUCCUUCGCUGUUAUGUAUGUCGCAAAAGCAAGAAGUGGGGAGGGACUAGGGCACUCGCAUUUAUGUACUCCGGAUCAGCUUCUAUGAAUGAAAAGACGCACCGUUUUGGUCUAUUUCCCCGCUUCUGCGGUUGCGUUUGGGAUUUGCGUAUUCUCAAGGGGCUUUGGGCUCCAGAUUCUCUUGGAUGAACGCAAAUAUCAUCAUUCUUUGAGCCCAAUAUCCUAAAAAAAACUCCAACUUUAAUUUUUGUCCCAAUUUUACCUUUCAUCUCAUGAAAAAAGCUCCAACUUUAGAUCAAGUCCCAAGUUUACCCUAAAAAAUAUUUUGUCUCAUAAAAAAUGCUCAACUUUAGGUCAUUUCCCAAUUCUAUCCCAAAAUUUGGUUGGUUCAAUGAAAAAUCCACAACUUUAGAUCUUGUCUUAAUUUUACCGUUCAAUCAAUCACAAUUUUAACCUAAAAUUUUUCCAAUCUCAUAAAAGACCACAAGCUUUUACUUAAGUCAUAAAUCUGCCCUAAUUAGACCUCCGUCCAAAAAUUCUUGUUGGCAAUCGAGUGAUGGAAAACUCUCCAGCACAAGUUAUUCAACCGUCCUAGGCAUGAACUCUUUGACCACGAAAGAUGAAAACAUUCCCAAAGGACAAUUUUAAUAGAGGAUUAACAAAGGCAGAUUUGGAAAUCAAGUAAAAGUUAGUAAUCUUUUACGAGACAACAAAAGUUUAAAGUAAAAUUGAUACUGGACCAAUAUUUUAUUAGACAACAAAAAAAAGUUUUUGGUAGAAAUAGGACUCGACCUAAAGUUGGAGGUUUUUUAUAAGAUAAAAAAAAAAAUUAUGGUAGAAUUGGGAUAGACCUAAAGUUGAAGGUUUUAUAUGAGAUAAAAGCUAAAAUUGGAGGUUUUUUUUUAGGGUAUUAGGCCUAAUUUUUUUUGAAUAGUUUUGUGAAUAUGUAAUUACAUUUCCAAAGAAACGAUAUAAGCUCAAAGCAAGUUCUAUUAUGAGCUUUGAGCAUUUCUGGAAUGCAAAUAGACUUUUUCUUUCGAUUUUGCUCUUGCUCUACUUCCAUAGUUUGCUAAAAUGUUCCCGAAAACCCUCCCUUUGAACAAAAAAGUUGCUCGCAAAGGCCUUAGCCAUAGGGGAGCGGAAGGUGGUCGAUUUGGCAUAUCCUUAAACAUUAGGAAUUUCAAUAUGGACAUGUGCAGUGCUCAUCAAUACACUGUGGCUCCAUCUAAAAGCGUUCUUUUAUAUCUCAAUGGCAGCCUACUGAAAUGGUGAGAACUGAAAAAUAAAAACAUAGUCGUGCGCUUUGGACGCUCGACUUGAAAGGAAUGGAUCAAUGUUAUAUUCACCCCUUCACUCCUAUAAACAAUCCAUCACUGGACUUGGAGGAGAAAAGGGAGUCGAAAGAUAUGCUUCAUCCAUUCACUAGCAAGGAAAAGGAUGUCAAGUUUGAAAUUUUAAUGAGGAAAAACGAAGCAUAUUGAUGUUCGGUUUUUAUUUUUCUUUUCAUUUUCUUUCGUCUUUGUAUCUGAACACUGAAGGGUAAACAUCUUUCUUCUUUCACGAACAGAGUCCAUCGGCGCGGCCUUUCUCCGCCUCACCGUCCUCAAACUUGAAUGCAUAUUUCGAAAAUGAGCCGAACAAUGUGACACGCUUCUGCUUUUAUAUUUUAACAGUCUAUUAGCUCCGGAAUGCAUAUUUUAACUCGUUGAUUUGUCCAGAAUGUCAGCAAUAGAGACCAUUAGUCUCACACAAUCAACUUUGAUGGCAAGAAUCCCAAAAGUGCAGAAUAACACGAUCCAGGCAUUGGCCUUCUUUUUCCGCGGUACCUCAGUUAACAUUGAUGCGAAAUUGGAGCUUGUAAAUUCAAUGUUAUGAAUCAUUAACAGCCCCGAACGAUGAUCAGAGUGCUCUUAAGUUUUUUGGCAUGCAAUUGUACAGUUACAUAUUAGAAAAGAUUUUACACCCAGAUUUUUCUACAGAUUCAAAAUACUAGGCAAUAGGCAUCACUGUGCCAUCUUUGACAUUGUUACAGUCACGGUUACAGAUCGAACCAUAAUGUCCAAAUAUGAUGUUUGCAAUUGCCUUUCAUCUGAGAAGCAAUUUUAACUCAAUUUUUUUAGGAAUAUAUGAUUUAAGUCCUGCUCCAACAUAAACAGCAUAUGAUUUAAGUCCUGCUCCAACAUAAACAACUUCAGCUGCUUCAACGCAGACUACUCUUGCACUAUCUAGUUACAAUGGUCUCAUGACCAACAAUAAAAAUAUAUUCAUCAGAUUUUUGCUUCUGUUAGAAGAUAACCAAAUCGAAUACCAUGCAAGAUUUCAAAUCAAAUAGAAGUUAUGUGGUUCAUUGAAGAGAAAAGCCAUGCGUUGUAGCACCUAACUACUAAGUGGAUCGAUCAGCCAUCAUCAGAAUGGAAAUGUUCUUCUCAUCCACAGCAAAUGCAUGCUGUGUAGGAAGGUGUCCUAAGAUUUUUCCAGAUUUCAUCACCUGAUGCUACGGACCCACGAAAGGCAAGAACAAACAGGACAGAGACAGAAAAAUUAGCCGCCGAAUCCAUCUUGUCAUGUACCCUUACGCCAGCAAAUAAGAACCAAAGGCGCAUUGGAACAAGUGUUCAAUGGUCUCGCUGAUUCUAUAGCUUGGGGUGUAGGAUGUUUGGAUUCUAACGGAUUCAGAGAAAGAUCCAAGAGGAUAGAAAUAUGAAAAAUCAUCCUCAAAAUCCAAAGAGUUGGUUUAAAAAGAUGGGGAUCGCAGAGUAAGAUGAUUGAUAAUGUGAAUUCAAAAAAGGUAGUCCGGAAAAAAACGAAACUUCACAUGAAUCACUGACGGAUUCAGAAGCUAUUCAGUUUAGCAUCACUCGAUAGACAUCUCAGAUCAAGUGUUGGAUUAUCUAUAUUUUUGCUUCAUCCCCAUCUUCUAACAGUGAAAUCAUGUCACAUCAAAACCAAACAAACAACCCGCAGACUUUGCAAAGACGGCAUCUUUAUCAAGUCGUAACCAAAAACCAAGUCGAAAAUCGAAGAAAAAGUCAUAAAAACGAGAUCUUUAUCUGGGAGAAGAAGAGGGGAGCUACUCAGUGGUGGCGAUAAAAGCAUUAGGUUCGAUUCUGCCAGCGUUCCGUCUUCAACUUGUAAGUCAGAAGAGGGAGCUUGGUAUCCUCAUCGUAACUCCACUUCCAGUGAAAACAAAAUCAGAUCGAAUCGAAAUAGCACAAUCUACCGAUAAUUUAUCUAUACUCUACGAAUUUUCAGCAGAGAGAGAGAGAGAGAGGCUCGGUUCAGCGGGGUUGUCGACACGCAAAGCGAUCUCGAGAACGAGAAAGCCCUGCAUUCCGGUCUGUUGAGCUUGAAUUUAUGGAGUCGUCAUCGCCAUCUCUCCCUUCUUGCCCCUCUUCCGCAAACAAAGCAAACAAAUCAAAGAGAAAAGAGAAUUUGACUUAUCAGAAAUCAAAGCACCAUGAGAAAAAACCAAAUCUUGAAGAACUCUCAAGAGGCGACGACUGCAGGCUACGUCUCCGAGAGAGGAGGCGCUGGGAUGGAGGGAUGGAGGUAGAUGGCGGCCUGGGUGAGUAGUAUUUAUAGAACGCAGCUAGGGUUUUGAGAGUCUGAAAGGCAGCCAGGGAUGGAAGGAGGCGGACGGGGCUUUCCA
rnacentral:lncRNA from 1 species